UUUUUUUAUUCUUUCAGUGGUUUGAUUGAUAUAUGCUCAACCAGGAGGUUUUGCAAAAUCUUAACGACUAGAAGACGUGCAUGCCAUGACUGGUACUUAUGAGGUUGUUAGGGGAAAUUUGGUUGUCGCUGGCAAUCUCUUGCUCUUCAUCUGCACAUGCUGAUGGGAGGAUAAACACAGCAAGUGACAGCAAAUCAUAUGUAGCUAUUGUUCUCAUAUUUUGUAUAAACAAUUACUGAACUAGGUGCUUGCUUUGAUUCUUUUGUUAUAUGUAUACAUGUGGGAACGAUUAUCCAAUAUAUCUUUUUGGAGUCACUGGAAUUUAGGACAAUUACUUUGUGCGCCUAUACAAAUUUUCUGCUCUGAGUGUUUGUGUUCUCUUUGCUUGUUUUGAAAAUCAUUGCUUGCUUGUGGAUACAGGAAGCCAAUAGUAAAAAAUCUUCGCAGGCAGAACAGGUCUGUGGGUCUAAAUAAUUAUAUACUUUUAACUUGUUUAAUGCAAAUACCUAAUCAACUUUUAGACCUGUUCAACUCAAAUUAUUCUAUUCUUCAGGCUGUUCCUUUUUUUCUUCUUUUGUUUCUUUUUCUGGCUGUUGGAAUGAUUCUAAAGCUCAUGCUCAGCUAAUGUGGACCACAUCUUAUCCGACCAAUUCUUUUUUUUUUUUGGGAAAAGGUUAUCCGACCAGUUCAUGUUGGUUGCAUUAUUCCCAUUUGCCAGUUACUCUCCCGCAGCCAUAUCUUUUGUCACUAGUGUGCCUAAAAAUAGCGAGACAUCUCUAGUAUAUUUACUGAUUUGUUCUGCAACAGUGUAAAUAUUUCCUUUUUAUAAGGGUAAAAAUGUAAUUCAAAUUCCAAGACUUCAUAGCGAAAUUGCUGGUCAUAAAUUAGGCGAAAUUCCACGUAAUUGUUGAAACAAAUCUCAUGUACAUAAGAUAGGAGAGACUAUUAAGAAUAGAGGUCACAAAAGAAGGUGGUUAACACCAAAGCUAAAGCAUGAAUGAGAUUCCCUAGAAAUUUAAGUACAAGAAAACAAACCAGAAAAGAAUACCCCCCCGACUUAUGUCAACCAAAUGGAAUUUAUGUACAUCAAAGUCUGAUUCCUUGAACGAGAGAGAAAUGGAAGAGGAGGCAAAAGAAAAUAACUAACAGGGCAAACUUCAUGUGUUAUUAGAGUUAGAAAGGCUCCUACAAUGCCAGCAGGCGUAUCAAAACCUACUCUAGAAUACUCAAGAUGCGCCGAAAACCGAGGACAGUUUCACCAGCACCCCAGAAAUUGUUGCUUCUUUCUAGCCACUCAAAAUUUUGCAUGUAUGCCUUUGCAUUUCAUGCAGCAGUAUCUUGCAUCACAAAUAUCUUUUUGACCUGUUUGAUCCGCCUCAAUUAUCCAUCAUCCUGACAUUUAAUCUGCUGGUUUCUUGAAGUAGAAACAAACUUGAAUAUCCACCAUUUGAUCGCGAAAGAAAUGACUCCUAUUGCAGCAAUUAUAUACACCAGAGCUGCAGGCAUACAGAAUAUUGUAGGGAGCACAUUCUACACAGGAAUAUUAUCCAAGGAAUACCCGUCAAAGUCAAACUCAUUUUCGGUGGCUCCAAUUCCCUCUUGCUGCUGGAAAACAGAAGAACUUUCAUAUGAGUAAAUAAUAACCUUAACAGUUCUUCGAAAUUCAUAUCCAAAAAUCUAAACACAGAAGGUAAAAAAAAUAGAGGCAGAAAAAUUGACCUGUUUGAGAAGUGCACUCAUUAGAUCCUCCUGACCAAAUUGUUCGUGAAAGUAGCUAGUUUGAGAACUUGCAUCAGGAACCCUUUCAGCUUUAACCCUAACUGUAUUGUCAACAAUAAGACUGUUAAGGUGUUGACCAUUAUUUUGGACAUUCACAUGAUGAGUGCCUUCUCCAAUUGAGAACAUAGCCUUUCCAACAGUAGAUGGAUUCCUGCUUGGUGCGCUCCUUUGGCUAGAAGAAAAUCCUUGAUGAACUAAAACUGAGGAGUCAAGGCUACCAUGCAUGGUGUUUGUAUGUUGAGAGGCAUCAAAGGUCAAGCCUACAUUCUGUAAGUCCCAGUCAUUAGAUUUGUGAUGAUGCAACUCAUUAAAAAUAUCAUAACUUGGCGCAAAUCCAGAAGAUCUUUUUAUUUCACAGUUCGCGUCUUCUGGAAAUGCUCCUUUAGACGUGAGGCUGGACAUUCCUGGUGUACUUCCAAGAGUAAAAUUGUUUCCUGGCAGUUCUGAACUGUUGUUCAGGGGAAAGUUCAACAUUGAGGAGUUCUGCUGGACUGGAUUAUAUCCUGCCCCUCUGCCAUUAUCAGCAAUCCCAUUUCUUCCUAAAACUCCACUAGGAAUUCCAUUUGAUAGGAUAGGCUGCCCCAUUGAUGAUGAAAGCCUAGGAACAUGAGUUCCAGAAGUUUCAUUCAGGAUCUGCCCUCUUGACUGUGGUUGAGACAUCUGCAUAAGUAGAGCGCUGUUCUGGACUCCAUGGGCAUUGACUUGCAUAUUCACACCCCCAAGAGAUUGUGCAGACUGGUGCAAGUUGGCAAGCUGCUUGGCCUCCAUAUUUGUUGGAAUUCCAUGAAGUAAGUUCAUUGGCUUGCUACUGCUCAGAUGUUGUUGCCCCUCUGCAAACCUCAACUUUGGAUUUUCAAAGCUGAAUAAGUUCCUUUGAUCAACGAGGGGCAUAGGCAUGCCAGAUUUUGCUGUUGACCUACCAAGUCCGGCUUGGAGUGUGGCAAGACUUUGAGCAGGAAGUUGACCUGUGACGGCUAGUGUCUGAAGAUCAAGCCCAUUGAGUGACGACAUAGCUCCAAAAGAUGCUUCUUGGGGACUCAGGAAAGAGUUAUUCAAAUUACUCGGGUGCUGUGACACUCCACUCAACCUUCUAAGGUACAACCUAUAUUUCUGUUCCACAACUUCGCACAGUGAGUUUUUCUCAAACAGGGAAUAUAUUUUUCUCAAAAUGCAUACCAAAAGAGGGGAAAAAAAACCAAAGAGCCUUUCUUGAGUUCAUAUCAUAACAGACUUCCUCUUCAUAAUUUUUUAUUAUAUUAUACAAAAUUUUAUACAUACCUGAAGAUGGCUAGCAACAUUUUCUCUAGUGAGCCCAGGAACAUUCAUCAACUCCAGAAUUUUCUUAGGAACAGCCUCUGUAUCAAAUUAUCAAGUUUGAUUAACGUAAGGAAUACAUUUGCAAUAGAAAAAUAGACACAUAAUGUUGCAUGGUUCAAUUUUAUCUAAAAGGCAAAGAGAUUAAUUCAAUGCCAACUCGCACUAAAAUGCUAAACACAACAUAGUCUUUGAUUUAUGGAACAAUUUGGAUGUAAAAGGUGUAUUAAUUAUGAGUCGUUUGUCAAUGAAUAAACUAGACAGACAUGAUAAUGAUAUUUGAUAUGGCCAGCAUGUCCAUUUCUGUCAGUGUGAAGAAUGUUUAUAUAGGUUAAAACUGAUUCAGCUCCUGGUUGAAAAACUAGGCGCAAAACUCAAAGGACCAAGAACACUUAUUUGCUCCCAGCAUCGAUAUUCAGUCCAGUAAGAAACAUGAAAUUGAAAAAGAUUGGGAAGAAAACAUACUAUCGAUGCCUAGUUGAUUAACAGCACCCACAAACUGUUGAUGGAGUUCAACUGACCAAACAACCCGUGGCUUCUUUAAUGUGGAUGAAUCAUCCCUCUCGUCGGCCUCUUCUUCCUCAUCCUUCCUCCUUUUCGAGUUCUUCCAAGUCCCUUCAUUUGCUGAGGACGAGUAAUCUGCAUCGUCAGAUGGUUUUGGCUGCCGAUCUCCUUCUUCCACACUUCCAGAUUGCUCCACUUCCUUCCACUCAUUCUUUUUCUUACGAACUACAUGCUGCCAUAUGUUCUUCAGUGCCUCUAUACGAACCGGUUUGAUUAGGUAGUCACAAGCACCAUGAGUGACCCCCUUCAUAACAACACUUUUUCCAUCAUCAGCAGACAUCACUGUGGAAUCACAUAUCAGCUCCAAAUUAAUAUAUAUACUAUCUGGGUUAACAGAGUUAAAAUCCGCACGAAUUACUCAAACGGAUAACUCACUGAUAACAGGCAGGUCCAUCUCAAGUCCAACGCGCUCCAGGAGUUUGAAUCCAUCCAUGUCUGGCAUGUGGACAUCACUAAUAACUAUAUCAAAUCCAUUUUUGUUCUCUCGAAGCAGCUUAAGUGCGAUCUCCGCUCGGUUGCAUUUCGUAACUAGAAAAUCCCAAACAAACCGAAUCAAUCUCUCAAAAAAUUGAUCACAGAAAUGAUAAAACAACAUAAAUAAACAGAGCUAUGAAUCUAUAAAAGCGCAAAUCAAAACUCAAGCUUAUCCUUGGAACAAUAAGAUUAACUCUUUAAAAAAAUAACAAAAGAAAAAAGAUGAAAAAUUAAUGCUGUAGAAACCAUGAAGAACAAGUCACAAACUUUAAGACAACCCAUGAUUUGAAUCUAAACACAAUUAUAACUGAAAGUGUACAAAAUGUCAAACUAUAGACAAAUCUUAACAUUUGUUCCCUUUUCUACAGCAGGUUCCCAAUCCCCCAAAUAUCAGCUUGAGAAACACAAGAAACGAUAACCCAAGUGGUAAACACUUGCACUAAAUCAACCCAAAAGGAAAACAAGGUCAUACUUUGAAACAGGAAAUUGAAAUCACCCAAAGGAUUGAAGAAAUCCCAUGAAGCAAAACCCAAAAGAGAGAGAGAAUUACAAUUCAAGCAACUCUAAUAAAGGGGUACCUUCAUAGAGACAUGUUCUAAGCAUCUUCUCCAAGAUCAUGAGGCAAGUGGGAUCAUCGUCAACCACCAGGACUCUUAAACCCGCAGGAAACUGGUCAGAGACCACAUCAGCCGAUUUCCAAGCGCCACUUGAACUAGCCGUUGACAUCGAUCCCAUACCGUUACUCAGAUUCAUGGCUUAAAAAACCCAAAUCUCGGAGCCGAAAGAACAGGGGAGAUGCAGCUAAAAGAACAACCAGAUACCCGAAUUACAUGCUUAAGCUUCGGUUUUGAUUCACACCCAAUUCAAAAUUCAAAGAACCAGUUGAAACUAAAGCAACGAAAAGGAGAGAGAUUUUGAUUUAUCUGGUGAUAAAAUUUUUAUUGUGCUAUAAUUAUAUAUUUAUUCUUCAGAUUGAAGUUGAAAGAGCUGGACUUGUCUCUCUCUCUCUCUCUCUCUCUCUCUCUCUCUUUCUUUCUGCUUCAAGCUCAAAUUGUCUGUGUUUUGGUUUUAUUUUAUGAUUUAUUAAUUUUUAAUAAUUUGGAAUAUUUUAUUCAAUGGUGGGUCACUCCUGGAAGAGUGGAUCCAGCUCACAUAUAAAAUUAACUUGAUUAGCUAACAUGAUCCUCCUUCCCAAAUUUACUCAUAAUUACUGUUUACUUUGUAUUUGGUUUUUACACUUUUACUAUUUACAAUUUCUUCAAAAUCAAAACCUUCCUUUUUAUCUGUUUGCUCUUUUUUGGACUCUUUAUCUGUUUCCUCUUACUGCAACACAAAUUGAGUGCUUAUACUUAUCACCUCUCCAAUAAUUCAGCAUCAAACUCUUUUAAAUUUUAAAAUUUCAAAAUUAUACAUCAUAACUGAAAAUUACACAAAAUUAAUUGUUUUUUAAUUUACUAAUUUACCUAAGCUGCCCAUGUGAUACACAUUCACUGUAUUUUUUAUAUAUAGUAAAUUGCAUAAUAACCACACAAUGAAUGUUUUUUUUUUUUUUGAAAGAGGAAAUAGUAAAUUUUCAUUGAGAUUGUCAAAGGUUACAGACUCGAGCAAACAAACGUGACCUCAUUCAAUGAGUAUUUUAAAUUACCCAAACAAGAAAAAAAAAAAAUCAACAUAAUGAAUGCGUUGGGAUUUAUUUUGUGUUUGAUUUUUGUUGAAAAAGACUGAAUUGGGUCACUAAUAGUCUAGCACUAGAAAAAGGAAACAAAAAGGGCAAAAAGAAAAAGAAAAAAAAAACCACAAACACAACAACCUUAAAUCUAUAUAUGAGUACAAAAACAGAAGCACUUUUUUUUUUUUUCUUGUGGUUAUAAUGAAAAUAGUUGAGGAUAAUGUUUGGUUUAUUUUUUGGAUCAAUGUUGUUUACCAAAGCAAACCACCACUUCCAUGUAUUGUGGGGGUGCUUUUGGUUUUCCACUUUCAAUUCCUCAGUAGUGGUCAUCCACGGUUCAGCCACAGCCACUUGAUAUUUUAAUAUUUACAAAAACGGAACGGAAAAGGGUUUUGUGGAAGGAAGGAAGGAGGGAGCGAACCCCGUUGAAUGAGUAUUCUUUUAAAGCUCGUUUGGGUCUUUACCUGCGUUCUGCUGGGUGUGCCGUCUGACCAUCUUUUACUUUUCAUGCCAGUUACUUUUACCACCCUGCCUGCUCUACCCACUUCCCCCGUUCGACACGUGUCAUUUGGCGCCACUAAAUAGGAUAAGGCUUCCUUGGCCUAUAUUGUUUGCUCUCUCAUUUCCUAGUCAUGACUCAUCAUCCCCCUGCACUUCACUGCACUGCAUUCAUGCUUGCUUUUUUAGUUUUGGUGCUGUCUGUGUGUGUGUGGGGUGUGUCAAAAAUAAAAAAAUCUAUGCAGCUUUGCAUAUGGAAUAUGAGCUAUGGUCUCUUGUGAUUCGAUACAAUUAACCUAUAAUUUUGGUCUGUUAGUUACUUCUUGUUGUUUUUACGACAUUAUUCUGAUAGCAUAACAUGUUAGAUAUUUAUAUACAUUGGCAAUGGUUCGUGUCAGUCUUUCUAUCUCAAAUAGCGGUUUUAUUCCCUAAUUCAUGAACUAAUUAGCAAGCUCACCCAAGAGAAUUUUCUUCAAAGAAAACAUAAUAUAAAUAAAAAAUUAGGGUUGCUUUUCCCAGUCCUAAUGCAAGAAAAGCUGCGACAAGCCUUGCUAAAGUGGCCAUAGCAAACUGAAACCGUAUAUUCUCUAGUAGCCUUUUCUGUAUUACGAUGAACACAUCCCCCCAAUUCCCCAACUACAAGUCUUUGCUUGCUUUUCAAUUUCGCCCUCAGAAAAUAUAUUUAAUUAAAAAAACUGUGUUCAUUUGUGAGCAAAAAGAAAAGAAACCCCACUCUCGCUCUCAACAAGUCUCAAACCCCAAGAAAAAAAACCAGCCAAUGAAAGCUGUGGAAACUGCGAGUGGUUGCUUUUAGGCUAAAGCUCUGGCAAGCUUGGGCUUUUCCCCCAGAUUUAAAUCCUCAAACUUAAUGAUUUAAUAAUAAUUGUUUAUUGUUUCUGUUUCUAGCUUUUCAUGGGUUUAGUUUUAGAGAGAUGCUUUUAAGGCAAAAUAUGGAAUAUUAUGUGUAACCCCCCAAACCUUUAGAUUAUUUCACGCUCGCCUAUUAAACUAUGCCAUGCAAAUGGCUUCUCGCUUGGUGGAAAAAGACUUUCACUCUAUCCUCAAUCAAUAAUAUUAUUACACAUGUGAUAACACUUUCACGUACCACAAUAUUAUUGAACGAAGAUAGCAAAAUAGUGUUAUUCCUAUUGCAACUAAAUUUUUCCCCUUUGAGUGGGUUUCAGGUGAUUGGAGCUGCUGUUGCUGCUCUGCCAUGUGGCAUCUCAUGGAACUUGGAGAAAAAGUCCAAAGCUACUUUUGCUAACUUUCCCUAUCUCCUUUGCCAAAUUGCCCACUUAAAUCAUGAGUGCCAUAUCCCAAGUCCCAAGCAACACACCCAACACAACAUGAAUGAUAAUGGCCUCACUCUUUUUACCCUUAGCAUGCGCCUUGAGAGAUUUUUUUUAAAAUUGUGAUCUUGACAAAAUUUUCUAACUUGAUUGCUUUCCCUUUAGGAUGUGAAAAACGAAUGGGAAAGUGGUAAUUUUUUGUUUCUGGGAGAGUUUUCUCUUUUGCUUUGUAAGUUUUGGGGGUGUCAUUGUUGUAUAUUCCUUUGAGUUGUUAACAAUCAUUGUCAUUUUCUUUGACUAAAAAGGCUUGUGUCCUUGCUUACCCAUUCCCUCUCACAUGUUCUCUUGUUGCUACAUUAACAUCACUUGCUUGUUGUAAUCACUAUCAAAAAAAUCACCUGUGAGCAUGCCUUUCCCAACAUCAUUGAAACCAUUUUGUUUGUGUUUACCACUUUUAAGUUGGCAAAUCAAAUAAUUUUGGGGGUUGCUCUUUUUCACAUGGUAAUGCUAAAAGCAAUGUCGUUCAAUUAAUUAUCAACUCCUAAACAAUACAUAUUAUAUUUUACUGUAAUUUUUAAACACAUAAAAGUUAGUUGUCUUCUUAUGUUGAACAUGCAAGAAUUUCUCUAGCCUACCGUUUGAUGUUGGCAAAAGAUUUAUAAAUAUUUCUUGAGGGUCUACUUUGUUUUUGUUUUAGUGUUGAAAUUGCAAGAUUUUGAUCCCAAGUUUACAGCAAAGAUCCAGCUAGCUAUGCUAGCAGCACCAAUGAUGAACGAACAACGAGUUCAAAAGACCCACCUACAAGUACUGAGAUGACUCGACACGGGGCCCACUGGCCCCACUCCGGGCUAGUCCACGUCACCAGCGGCGAAGGCAAACGCAGACGAGACGUGUUGGACGACGUUCGUUUCAACCCGGGAAAUCGGACGGACACGUGGUCGUGUCCGUAGUGCAACUGGCGGGACCCGUCCCAGGACUGUACAAAAAGGAAAGGCCAAGGCGUUAACGGGAGAACUGGGCCAACGCGGGAAGGGAAGGCAUUGGGCUGGGCCCCACCGCACACCUCAUCAGUGAUGAAAAGAGUAUGGGGCCUACUUGUAACGUACGUGCGCCUCUCAUACACGUCCCUAUCGGCUGUCACUAGCUAGGACACAAAAUAGAGAAAACAGAGUUUAGGGUUUUGUUUGUUUUUUAGGUGAUGGAAAAAGAAGGUUGGAUGCAUUUGAUUUGAGUAGGUUGAAAAAUUGGAGGACUUUUAUUGUUUUGUGUAUUUGAGAGGGAGAUUCUAUAGUCUACGUUGAGCAUAUAUUUCUCAAACUUUGUCUACGGUUGUUUCAUAACUUUUUAGACAUGUAACCAAUUUAUAGAAGAUAAUCAUGGUCAUCACAUAGACAUGUAAAACAAUAUAUAUAUAUGGAUGUUACGAAAGCGUACCUGAUUAUGUUUGAUUUGAACGUAAACGUUAUGCGAACACGAAUUUUAGAUACAUGAGUAACUGCUCUUAACACUAAACUACAAACCCCUUGUGCUAUCUAGCUAGGUUGGAGCAUUUGCAACGGACUCACUAGUGUAGUGGUUUAGAGCAUGAAUGGGAGUCCUAACAUCUGUGUAAUCGCUCAUCUCAAUAAAUAAAAAAAAAGUCCUAAAAACAUGUAUGGAAAAAUCACAAUAAUUGCAGAUUAGUGUGAGAGCAUGAAUCUCCCAAUAGCUGUAUAUGUAGUAAUACACAUGCAUGUAGGGUUUUAGGUAAAUCCCAAGCCUUCAAAGAUGUACCCAAAUUGGGCUCACACACUAUAUUUAUAAUAUACAUUUGUCAAGGUGCACCAAUAUUAUACUAAAACGAUUAUAAUAUAGCGGGCUAACCGUCAAUUCUCAACCCAAUAAAUAUUCCAAUCAAACUCGAUAUUACCGGAAAAAUACUCCCAAGCCUAACUAAUAAUAAACAAUUUGCAACACUGAAUUCCAAAACUGAAUUAGGGUGGUGAUAAGAAAAAGUCACAGGUGGGUUGUUGUCCCAUCUAUUUCGAAGCCAUUUUUGGUAACAUUAGGAAUUGCAAUUAUACAAGAAAGGAUAGACCAACACGUUGCAGUACUGGAGGCUCUGCUUCCCGACACCCAACUUCUUGUUCAAUGGUUCAGAGAUGGAUCCAAAAAAAUAUUGUGAAUCAGAAGAAUUAUUGAAGUGAAGGUUGGAGAUUACCUGUCAAGCAAGCAAGCAAUCAACGGCCAAAGGGGAAAGAAGAAAGCCUUAUGAUAUCAAAAAUAAGUAAAUUUAGCACAAAACUCAAUCCUCUCUCUCUCUCUCUCUCUCUCUCUCUCUCUCAGGCUUAGCACAGAAAAGUUCCAAGUAGUAGCUCUCCCCCACCUUUGCCAGCCUCGCAAGCAAGCAAACAAGUCUCCAUCCAUUCAUCCAAUCCAAUCCCGAGUUGACUGUUUGUAAGGUUUGAUUCACUAGAAGAUACAGCCACACCCAGCGCCAAGAAUGAAAAUCAGAUUACGAAGUUAAAAACUUUGCCACUACCAUCCCAUUUACCGUUACGUGAUCUGAAUCAUUGAUUAUGUUGAUUAUUAUAUAUGACAUGUUUAUUUAUUAGAAACAAAAAAGUAGUCAUGAAUCAAAGAACUUAAGAAAAAGGGAAUUAAUGAAUAAUUAUAAUCGAAUCAAAUAUUUAAUUUAUAAUUUCAAAAGUAUUUGAUUACAUAUUUUAACAUGUAAAUCACAUACUUUUUAAUUCCUUAUGAACUAAUAAAUGCAUGAGAAGUCAGAAAUUGAAAUAAUUUUAAUAUUCAUUUUUAUAAAUAAACAUAUAUAAUAAGAGAACAUUCAUCAUAUAUAAACUCAACGUAGGGAGAAAAUGGAAAAUAAAAUAAAAGAGGAAGCAUAUAAUUUUCUACAAGCUAGCAACUUGGGUUGGGGGUGUUAUUUUUUUAGUAUGAAUGAUGGGAAUAACGUACGCUGUUCUCUCAUGUGGCAGGUCCAUUAUAUAUCUGCGAUUGCUUGCAGGAAAUUAAUUUCUCACAUGACAAUGUCUAAAACAGCAGAAAAAAAAUAACAAAAAGGUACUUGGCCACUCUACAAGUUAUAGGAAUUAAUUAAUGCUUGGGGUACAAGCUCCUGUUUAAAUGGGGUGUUGUCCCCAGCAGGCCAUUUCUAUAAUUAAGAUCGUUUUUGCCAACUUGGGUAUUUCGUUUAGUCCAGCAACUGGGAUGAAACUUCAUGUGCUUUCUCAUAUUUUUGGUGCAAUUGCGGGUUACAAUACGGAAUUUGCAGUUCAAAUGGUUAAGAAUAAUAAUCCGUGCAUUUAAUAUUCUUUGUUCGAAUCCCUCCUCUCUCUUCGAUGCCUCUUGCAUCAAUUUAUUUGAAUAUAGAAAAAUGCAUUAAUUAUGCAUGCAUGAUGAUUGUAGAUAUAAUUGAAAGUGAUCAUAAUCCAUCCUAAAUGGUAAGGGUGGCCCCAAUAGCAAACAACAAGAAUCCACCAUCGUGUCGUGCACAUGGAGUGGUUUAUUUUUAAUUUCCUAGGAUGAGUAUGCACAUGUAAUGUAACUGUAACUGUAACAUAAGCACCACCUGCGAAAUCUUCAGUCCCACUUUCCACGAGAGACCAUCACAAAUUCACAAAAUUCAGAAUAUGAGUAGGGGGACGUUGGGCUCAUCUGAGUCAUUUGGUGAUCAUGGGAGAUAUAUACAGCUACUUGAGCUCUGCCUUAACCCAUAAUCAUCCAUAAACUUGAUUUGGUCUAUAGUCACUUGUAUAUACCCACUCAACCUCAUGCUUACCCAAAUGACCGAAUAGGUCACAAUGACCCAAAUCAACACACAAUGAUUCUAGACAUGUCAUGCAUUUUGAGGAUCACUAGUGGGUUGUAGUUUGAAAGGUACAAGAAGAAAUGUUACGACUACUUUUAUUUAUAUGGCCUGGGUCAACUUAAAUCCGCUUGGGGGAUUUAUGGGUGGCACUUAACCAUAUUAAAUAUUUGUAAGGGACUUAUAACUUAAGUGAUUAAGGAUGUUUAUUCAUGCCCUUCGUAGUUCUAGAUUUGAUUUCCAUAUCUUAAAUAUCGUUUGUAUUUAAAUAAUGUGGACCAAAAAAAGAGCAUUGAAAUGAGCCCACCAAAUAAAAACCUCCCACUCAAGAAGUCCGUUUCUCACGGAGCUAGAAAUCAUCUCAAGAUGAGCACAGGCCCACAAGAAUAAUAGCAAACUUCAAGUUUUUGAAGCCCAACCAAGAACACUUAGAUGCCAUGGCCCAUGCCAGAGAUUCAAGCAGGAACCCAAAGAGGCCCAAAGCGCGAGAUACCAUGAGAAAAUAGUGAAGCACCAAACUGAACGGCAAGGCUAGCGCGCACAACUCGGUGAGUGGUAGUGUUAAGAGGCCUUCCGCAAUUGCUGCUCAUUCCACACAUUCUCCUCCUUAUAAAAACUGUAUGAAAAAACUAACCUCUCCCACCCCUCCACUCCCUCCACACCCACUUCCUAUAAAGAUCACGUGCCCGUUUUCAGCUUCAAGCAAAUCUACGUAUCUGCAAAUGGUAGUUUCAUUUUCAACCAAUCAGGCAUUUAGCUUCUUUUCGCUCUGCAUUCUUUAUUUCUGGACCUUUUUUUCCUUUUUCUUUUUGUUAUAGAUACCAUGACCAAGUUAAUGGCAUACAACUCCUUUUCAGUUUCUGAGGAAAAAUGAGGACAUGCUCCAUGUGCUAUUCGAACUUGCAAAUACCAAAGUUGGGACUUCAGUCACCUUCUCUUGGAUUAACAUCUUUAGGCAGAAGAGCAACAAUAACCACCAUAAGUCAACCACUUUUAGAAUGCUUCAGAAGCAUACAAUACUCUGAUGCUCCAGCAAAGAUUUUGGACAACCAAUUUUUAAAGCAUUUUGUGAAAGUAUUUGGUCUGGAUCUUGAAACCACUGGACUUUCCAGAAAGGAAGGACGGAUUGUUGAAAUUGCAGUCCGGGAUCUUCAUGGAGGCAAGAACAGUUGUUUCCAAACCCUGGUAAACCCCGAACAACAUGUUCCAAAUUCUCAUAUCCAUGGUAUAACAACCGACAUGGUGACACAUUCAGGUGUCCCAAGGUAUGCUGUUCUUUUAAGGCCUUUUAAUUUCCUGUCAUUAUUAUUCUAGUCAGGCAUUGCAGAUGGUUAUUAUGUAUAGUUUCGUUUUGUUUUGUUUUGUUUUUUUUGAGAACAUAUAUAGUUGUUAGAAUAUGACUAAACCUUCUAAGGUGCUGGAUAACAUGAGUACUGGUAGUUAAUUGUAAAUUUAGUUGAUGAAAUACUAAGCUAAUGUAGGCAUUAGGCAAUACCUGAUUACAAGUUCUUGUUUAGGAUGGCGGAGUUGAUUCCAAUCCUUGUCGAAUACAUCAAAAGCCGCCAAGUACCCGGAGGGCAUGUUAUACUUGCAGCUCACAAUGCACGCUGUUUCGAUGUACCAUUUUUGCUCAAGGAAUUCAGCUGCUGCUCAUUUGAUGUUCCUCCUGACUGGUUGUUUCUUGACACCCUUGCUCUGGCUCGAGAGUUGAGGAAGUUACAUGGUAAGAGCUAUAAAUGUAGGAAAGAAGAGAAAAGAAAAGAAAGAACACAGUUUCUUUUACAAGAUUAAUGAUUUCUGGUACUAUUGACAGGAUCAAAGGCUCUUCCAAAGAUCUCACUUCAGGGACUUCGUGAGUUCUAUAGGAUCCCUCUAAAGGGUUCAAAUCACAGGGCCAUGUCAGAUGUAAAUGUGCUAUCAUCUAUACUUCCCAACAUGACUUUUGACCUGAAGCUUGGUGUCGAUGACCUUUUGCAGAGGACUUUUAAGGCAUCGGCCUGCAACAUUACGCGAAUAAGAACAUGAAGAAGAGCUGAAGCUACAAGCAUGCCGUCGUUUUCUGCUCCUGUUUUCCUCUGUAGCACUGUAAUUAUGUAGGCAAUUGUUUGUUUGUGUAUCAUUUCAGGUAAUUUCUGUCCAGCUCCAGCAUUAUCACAUUUGCCUUGAUCAUGAUUUUGUUUGACAUUGAUUCGUAGAUACUGUUGGAGUGUAAAACCCAGAAAUGGUUAGUUCAAUGAAAGGUGUGGACAUAUUUUAUUUAUGAGAUUGCAGCAAUGAAUGUGGUUUAUUUGUUCACGUGAUUGAAUCAUACACGUGAGGGAUUUCAAGUGUUUAUUAUUUUAAACUAAACGCAGUCAGUAAUAAGACAGGAAAUGUUAUUGUCUGAGAAUCUUUUAGUACUGCAAUUAAUGUUUAUAGUUUAGAGUAGCAAAUUCUAAAUGGAUGUCGUUAUGAGGGAAUGAUUUAGGUUCAAAGUACAACUAGCACAUUAAUUAAAACAUCAUAUAUCUCAUAAUUAUGUAGGACACAACCGCUUUAAAUCAGAAACAAUAUUGACCUGAUAUUAGUACGAAAUACAUUUAUAGCACGUAGAUGCUUUGAACGGUUAGGGCAUCUCUAGCCGUAGUAGUAAAUAAAUUUUUUCAAAUUAAAGUUUGUUGAUCUAAGUGGCAAUUUCAAAAGUCUUCUUUGCUACUUGAAUAAUUUUUGCUUCAACAUACUCUUCAAUUCAAUUAAUGCAAUAUCAUGAAAAAAAAUGAAAAAUAUGAAAACAUGUGAAAAAUAUGUACGUAUUUAUUAUAUGAAAAGAAAAAAAUGCAUGUUUUUAACAUUUUUAGGUUUUGUUUUUCCAAAAUAAAAUUAAAUGUUUGAAGAGCCAAAAUCAACUUACCAGUCAUGAAAAGAGAGAAAGAUGUUUCCGUUUUGAUGGCUAAGGUUGAAGAGGCUGUUGUAGAGAAUUUUUCUGAUGUGGCUCACCUAUUUUAGAAUUCCAAAGGUGUUGAAGAGGUUGUUUGAGAUGCUCUUACUACACAAUAUCAUUCAAUGCUCAAAGCUUUAUGUAAUUUUUGGCCAUCUUUCAACUGCCGUUCAUGGAAAAAAUCAUUCAAGAUGUGAAAAAAAUACAGUUCUUUAAAUUAAACUAAUAUGAUUGCGUGAGUAACUAGCUAAACGAUUUUUAGUUUGGAAAUAUUUUUAUUCACCACUUUAACCUAAAAUGUACCUUCAUUAUCCUUCUCAACACUUGACAUAUGUCCAUGAGCAUAACCAUAGCUAACUAUUUUCUUUGUAUUUGCAUAACCAUGUCUAUACUCAUGGAUACGUGUCAAGUGUUGAGUAUAAUUAUGAUGGUACACCUUGGAUUAAAGUGUUGAGCAAAAAUAAAGACAUCAUUAUUAGAGAAAGCUAAAAAAUAUCUAAGAUGAUUUUUCUUUUAUGGGGUGUUUACUAAUCCAUAAUUAGAAUCAAAAUGAUUUUCCCUGUUUCCCUUUUCAGUGUUAAUUUUGAGCAAAAGAAGUUCAAAUGGAUUUGGAUUUACAUAACUUAAAGUCCAAUCCAAACCAAUUUUCGCUAAUUUCUCCCAAGCGUGCGGGGCCCAUACAGUUCUAAUCAAAACGUGCGCGAGAAGGCGAGACCACAAAAACCGCGUUAAGCCACGAAUAUUAAACAAAAAAUCGAAAAAGAAAAAAACUCUGAAAUCACGACCUCCACACGUGUGAAUGACAUUCACACACACGCUGUCUGUCCAAUGAAAUCCUUCCACCUGUAUAAAAAACGCAUGGCUCUGGUCGUUAGGGGCAUUUCCGAAAUUAACAGGAAAUCCACGGGCUAUUUCCACCACGUAGGGACUAUAAAAAAAAGCUUAACCCCUACCGGAAGUUCGGUAGAGAGUCUUCUGUGUUCUCUCUCACGCUAUUUCUCGGUCGCUUCCUCACACUCACACCGCCACACACACACACACACACACUCGCUUUAUCUCUCGUCGUCUUCAAUCUUUAUAGGGUUUUAUAAAUUCGGACCCAAAUUCGAUUUGAGCUCCCAAUUCGCCAUCGCCUUGAUUGAAUUGUGUAUGUGUAUCAAGAUGGAGUCUGAUAAUUCGUGGAGCAGUCUCUUCUCGAGCUCUUCGUCGAGGCGGUACCAAUCUCGAUCCGGUCACUUUUCCCAAACUACCCCAGGUUCGCGUCAUUUUUCUUGUUUUUUGGUGUUUUGUGAAUUUGUUUGGUGCUGAUGGUUGUGGUCGUUGCAGAUCUGUUUGCGCACGACGAAACUGAUGGAGACGAUGAGUUAAAGGCCGAGUUUUUGUGCCCUUUUUGCGCCGAGGAUUUUGAUGUUGUUGGGCUUUGUUGCCACAUCGAUGAGGAACAUCCGGUGGAGGCUAAGAACGGGGUAUGUAAUUCAAUUUUUUGAAUUUAGUUAAUUUUGAAGUUUUGUACUUUUAAUCGAUUAGUUCCAGCUGGCUUUGCUUUUAGAAAUUUGGAAAAGUACGAGCUCUCAAGGUUUUCUUUUGUUUUUCUCCUAGAAAUGUUAGUGUUUGCGUUUUGAUGAUCAUUUAGUUCUCAUUUUAGCUUAGAAAGGAACAUUUUAUUUGCAUAAUUUACAAAGAAACUCGUGAUUCCGUAUAGAUUGAGCGAACUUUAGGGGAGGAAAUCUAUCAUUGUGAUAGCAUUCAAAGGGAUGCUAGUGGUUUACUUGGUUUUUUGUCGUUUGGCUGUGGUUUUGAAUGGGUUUGGUUGAGUUGGACUUUCCUUUGAGUAGGUAUGAGUUGCAACUUAGAGGUACUUUUGUUGAGAUGGGUUUGUUAUGACUGGUGAUGGAGUGCAUGGGGUAGAUGAUGGUAAGACAAGAGGGUUAAUCAUCUUAGUAUUUGAUUUUUGUUUGAAGCCUUUUAGAAAGGAAAUGUUGGAAUUUUCCUUGUUAGUGUUGUGCGUGGUAUGCUCAACACUAGACUGGUAUAUGGCUUUGAGUGUGACCUAUGGGUUUGAGCCAGUCUGUAGGAGCUCGGUUAGUCAGGUCAACCUUGUAGUUGUCUUUCUUCGUUAAUGUACAGAUAGUUAAUCUUGCAUGUGUAAUUGUUUUCUUAAAUUGAAUAAAAAGGUAGGACUGGUUCACAUGGGUUGUUUAUGAACGUGCCCUUUGUUACCAUUUAUAAUUUUCAUUUCUCUUGGAUUAUUUAUGAACUAGCCCGUUGUUAUUGUUUUGAAUGUUCUGUUUUCAUUUUUUUCCAGGUCUGUCCAGUUUGUGCCAAAAGGGUGGGAGCAAACCUUGUGAGCCAUAUUACCACGCAACAUGGGAGUUUGUUAAAGAUAUCCUUUGGUGAAUUUCACUUUAGUUUUGAAUUUUUCCAUGCUUGUUUUGGUUAUCGUUUACAUACAUGCUUAUUGUAUCUAUAUCUGGAGGUUGAAGUCGUUAUCAAAUGAACACUUUUGAAAGAAAUAAGUGUGAUUUAGAAAAGCCAACUUUUGUUGUAUUUAAUUUUAAUGGCAGAACAUAUGGGUAUUACAGUCAGAAAUGGUUGUUUUGUUAAAAAUAUGGCCUUUAUCUUAGAUUCACUCUUGCAUAUUUUCAUGUAUCUGGCCAGCACACUGACUAGUUAUCAUAGUGUUGUUGAGUAUCACCUUCAACUUGUUCCUUUUGUUAGACUCUUCAUUUGCACCAGUCACUCCUAUUCUAGAAUGGCCAUUUCUUGCAUCGAAACUUGGAUAACUUUCACUUCCAUGUUUAUUUAUGUUUUGGUCGGAUUUCCAUUUUAAGUCUGGAGUAUGAAGUAAUGCGUUCCUUGACUAUAGAUUACGUUCAGCGCAAGAGGAAAUUUCGCAGGGGAUCUAAUUCAACAUUUUCUAUAUUAAGGAAAGAGCUGCGAGAAGGAAGUUUACAAGCCCUUCUCGGAGGUUCUUCUUUCCUUGUUUCUUCAAACACGGAAGCUGAUCCUUUGCUGUCUUCCUUUAUUUAUAACCCACCCACAGUUGAUGAGGAUGUGAGCGCACAACCCGAUCCUUUAGUCGAAGCUUCUUUUGUAAAGGAAAGCACAAAGGAAGAGUUCUCGGAAAGGUAUGAGCAUUAGCAUGACUUUGAGUCUAUUUAUUUGUUUUUGUUGUAUGUGGUGAAGUUACUAUGAUUUCUAUAGAGUUUUAACGCUGUCUGGUCUAUGAUGACAGAAUCGUGCAACAACCACCGCUAUCGCAUAAGGACCAAGAAGAGAAGGCGCGGAAGUGUGAGUUUGUUCAAGGAUUGCUGAUGUCCACCAUCCUUGAUGACUUAUGAGUUAGAAGAGGGUGUAGUGGGGAGAGAUACGGAAUUGACAAGUUAGGACCAGAGCGCAGAGCCCAAGUAAUAUGAGGGAAGAAAGUCGUGCUAUUUAUGUAUCAACGGGUAAUAGUUAGAUCUGAACAAGCAUGUAUUCGUAUUGUACUCGGAGCUUUAUGUGUAUAAUGGAAAUAUGAAAUAAAUUUAUCCACUUGCCUUUUGCUUUCUACAUGUUCUUGAUAACCUGCCAAAGGUUAUCUUGGAAUUAAUGCGCACUGAUCAUAAGUUGGUAACUUUAAAAAUUCAAAUAGGAUGGGGGAAACUUUUCAUGUCACUAGAUUCUGUAAAAGGAGAGAAUUUUUCGUUCUACAAAGAAAUGCAGAAAUUGGAAGGUGCUAGACUAGAUUUGACAAUGCAGCCUGGGUUGGUUCUAUGAACCUACGUAAAUUAAAAUGAUUGUAGGAAAGGAGCAGAUGGCAAAAUUGGAGGAGUGGGAGAAACUCAUCUAGGAUUUCAAUACAGUUUUGAUGCCGUCUAAAACUGGCCCACACUAGGAGAUUAGAUUCAUGCAUAAAAGACUCACAUUUCCAAUUGUCCUCGCAAGCAGAAUCCGACCAAUCACAAACUACUAUGUGAAAAAGUUAUUAAAUGUGGAAUGCCGCGAUUGGUCUGGGAUUGUAAAAUAAUGCUAUUCCUAUUUCACAUAAGUGUUUCUCUCUACCAAGACUCUACUCACCAAUAUCCAUUGACAAAUAAAAAUUGAUUUUAAAAAUAGGAAAUGAUAGAAUAGUUUAUUAGCAACAAUAGAUUCACGGUAAUUAUAAAGCGUAUGUUAAAAAAAAAAUUAGCAUGUUAGCAACGUUAGUUUUCUUUGGGGGCAAAAAAAAAAAGCAGACAUUUUAUAUUAAAAAAAUUACGUUUUUUUCUUAUUUAAUUUUUAAACAAGGUGGAAACAAAGAUGUAAAAAGGCUAGUUUGUUGUAAAAGAAAAAACAAAAGUCACUACAUUUAAUAAGGGUAAAUUUGGAAAAUAAAAAUUAUCUUGUGUGAUAUAUUAAUGACAUUGUUUUAAGUGUAAGAAAAGUGACACAGGAAGAAAAGAAAGAAUAUCCAAAAGAGAAGAUUAUAGAUAAAGUUGCUAACGUUCUCUAUAUAGUAAAGGCAAAUCGAAAAUCGAAAUGAUUCCAAUAUUCAUUCAAAAUAAGUAAACAUGCCACUGAAUGAUCAAAAUAAUUCCAAUAUUUAUUGAAUAAUACUAGUCUUACAACAUUUUUUAUACCACAUAAUAUGAUAGAUGAUGUGUAUAUAUCACAUCAUGUAAAAUACUAGUUUUUAUUUUUCUAAUUUUAUUUAUUAAAAUACACUUCAUUCAUUUAAUUGAUGUGACAUAUAAUAUGGAUAUGCCACAUCAUGUGAUAUAAAAAUAUAGAAUAAUAAUCUAGUAAGUGUAGCAUUACUCAUUUAUUUCAGGUAAGUAAACAUGCCACCCAAGGGGAUGGGUCAAGCCACAAAUAUUAAACAUAAAAAACCUCUAAAAUCACGACCUCCACACGUGUGAAUGACAUUCACACACACGCUCUGUCUAAUCAAAUCCUUGCACCUGUCUAAAAAUCGCAUGGCUCAGGUAGUUAGGGGCAUCUACGAAAUUAACAAAAAACCCGCGGGCUAUUUCCGCCACGCGGGGACUAUAACAGCAGGGUAAACCGUACCGGAGGUUCGGUAGAGAGUCUUCUGUGUUCUCUCUCAAGCUAUUUCUUGGUCGCUUCCGCACACUCGCACCAUACACACACACACUCGCUUUAACUCUGGUCGUCUUGAAUCUUUCUAGGAUUUUAUAAAUUUGGACCCAAAUUCGAUUUGAGCUCCCAAUUCGCCACCGCCUUGAUUGAAUUGUAUUUGUGUAUCAAGAUGGAGUCUGAUAAUUCGUGGAGCAGUCUCUUCUCGAGCUCUUCGUCGAGGCGGUACCAAUCUCGAUCCGGUCACUUUUCCCAAACUACCCCAGGUUCGUUUUUCUUGUUUUCAGUGUUUUGUGAAUGUGUUUGGUUCUGAUGGUUGUGGUUGUUGCAGAUCUGUUUGCGCACGACGAAACUGAUGGAGACGAUGAGUUAAAGGCCGAGUUUUUGUGCCCUUUUUGCGCCGAGGAUUUCGAUGUUGUUGGGCUUUGUUGCCACAUCGAUGAGGAACAUCCGGUGGAGGCUAAGAACGGGGUACGCAAUUCAAUUUUUUGAAUUUAGUUAAUUUUGAAGUUUUGCAUUCUUAAUUGAUUAGUUCCAGCUGGCUUUUCUUUUAGAAAUUUGGAAAAGUACGAGCUCUCAAGGUUUUCUUUUGUUUUUGCCCUAGAAAUGUUAGUGUUCCCCCCCUAGAAAUGUUAGUGUAAGCGUUUUGAUGGUCGUUCAGUUCUCAAUUUAUCUUAGAAAGGAACAUUUUAUUUGCAUAAUUUACGAAGAAACUCAUGAUUCCGUACAGAUUGAGCGAACUUUAGGGGAGGAAAUCUAUCAUUGUGAUAGCAUUCAAAGGGAUGCUAGUGGUUUACUUGGGUUUUUGUCGUUUGGCUAUGGUUUUGAAUGGGUUUGGUUGAGUUGGACUUUCCUUUGAGUAGGUUUGAGUUGCAACUUAGAGGUACUUUCAUUGAGGUGGGUUUGUCACUGGUGAUGGGGUGCAUGGGGUAGAUGAUGGUGAGACAAGAGGGUUAAUCAUCUUAGUAUUUGAUUUUUGUUUGAAGCCUUUUAGAAAGGCAAUGUAGGAAUAUUCCUUGUUAGUGUUGUGCGUGGUAUGCUCAACACUAGACUGGUAUAUGGGCUUGAGUGUGACCUAUGGGUUUGAGCUAGUCUGUAGGAGCUCAGUUAGUCAGGUCAACCUUGUAGUUAUCUUUCUUCAUUAAUGUACUGAUAGUUAAUCUUGCAUGUGUAAUUGUUUUCUUAAAUUGAAUAAAAAGGUAGGAAUGGUUCACUUGGGUUGUUUAUGAACGUGCCCAUUGUUACUAUUUAUAAUUUUCCUUUCUCUUGUAUUGUUUAUGAACUAGCCUAUUGUCCUAUUGUUAUUGUUUUGAAUGUUCUGCUUUUUUUUCUUCCAGGUCUGUCCAGUUUGUUCCAAAAGGGUGGGAGCAAACCUUGUGAGCCAUAUUACCACGCAACAUGGGAGUUUAUUAAAGAUAUCCUUUGGUGAAUUUCACUUUAGUUUUGAAUUUUUCCAUGCUUGGUUUGGUUAUCAUUUACAUACAUGCUUAUUGUAUCUAUAUCUAGGGGGUUGAAUUUGUUAUCAAAUGAACACUUUUGAAAGAAAUAAGUGUGAUUUAGAAAAGCCCGCUUUUGCUGUAUUUGAUUUUAAUGGCAGAACAUAUGGGUAUGACAGUUAUAAAUGGUUAUUUCGUUAAAAAUAUGGCCUUUAUCUUAGAUUCACUCGCAUAUUUUCAUGUAUCUGGCCAGCACACUGACUAGUUAUCAUCAGUGUUGUUGAGUAUCACCUUCACCUUGUUCCCUUUGUUAGACUCUUCAUUUGCACCAGUCGCUCCUAUUCUAGAAUGGCCAUUUAUUGCAUCAAAACUUGGAUAACUUGCACUCCCAUGUUUAUUUAUGUUUUGGUCAUAUUUCCUUUUGAAGUCUGGAGUAUGAAGUGAUGUGUUCCUUGACUAUAGAUUACGUUCAGCGCAAGAGGAAAUUUCGCAGGGGAUCCAAUUCAACAUUUUCUUUAUUAAGGAAAGAGCUUCGAGAAGGAAGUUUACAAGCCCUUCUCGGAGGUUCUUCUUUCCUUGUUUCUUCAAACACGGAAGCUGAUCCUUUGCUGUCUUCCUUUAUAUAUAACCCUCCCACAGUUGAUGAGGAUGUGAGCGCACAACCCCGUCCUUCAGUCGAAACUUCUUUUGUAAAGGAAAGCACGAAGGAAGAGUUCUCGGAAAGGUAUGAGCAUUAGCAUGACUUUGCGUCUAUUUAUUUGUUUUUGUUGUAUGUGGUGAAGUUACUAUGAUUUCUAUAGAGUUUUAACGCUGGGUGGUCAAUGAUGACAGAACCGUGCAACAACCACCGUUAUCACAUAAGGACCAAGAAGAAAAGGGGCGGAAGUGUGAGUUUGUUCGAGGAUUGCUGAUGUCCACCAUCCUUGAUGACUUAUGAGCUUGAAGGGGGUGUAGUGGGGAGAGAGAUGGAAUUGAUAAGUUAGGACCAGAGCGCAGAGCCCAAGUAAUACGAGGGAAGUUGUGCUAUUUAUGUAACAACCGGUAAUAGUUAGAUCAGAACAAGUAUGUAUUCGUAUUGUACUCGGAGCUUUAUGUGUAUAAUGGAAAUAUGAAAUAAUUUAUUCACUUUGCCUUUUGCUUUCUACAUGUUCUUGAUAACUUGCCCAAGGUUAUCUAGGAAUCAAUGCGCACUGAUCAUAAGUUGGUAACCAAAAAAUUCAAAUAGAAUGGGGGAGAACUUUUCAUGUCACUAGAUUCUGUAAGGCUGUAAGGCCCGUUUGGUUCAAGGAACGAAUUUGAGGGGAAAUCAUUUCCAAUGUCAUUUCCUAAAGGAUGGGAAAUAGAAAAUUCAUUUAUCACGUUUGGUAAUGCUAAGAAAGUAAUCGAGAGAUGUCACUUUAUUUCUUUUCCCAUGUUUGUUUUAAGUAGGAAUGAAAAAUAAAGUUUGUAUAAAAUUUUAAUUAUACCCAUAUUAAAUUAAAUAAAAAAAGAAUGCAUUUAAUGAUAUAUUGUAAUUCUAAAUUGUUAAUUGAGACAAAAUGGUUAUGAAAAAUAUUUAUUUAAUAUUAGCUCAUUUUCCCAAACUUUCCCAUAAAGAGGGAAAACAAAACCCAAGUUGGGAGGAUUCACUUUCUCCCCUACUUUCCCAUGUGUCAGGCAAUGAUUUCCAAUGCAUGGACUUACCAAACAUGUAAUAACCAAAAACAAAAAGUCUUAUUUAAUUAUUAAUUUAUUUUGAAGAAAGACGAUUUUGCCCUCGCCAUAUUUUAUUAAGAAAAAUGUGACUUUUUGAUUGAGAAGGAAUUUGACAAUUCCACUUACACCGUUGCGUAGAGCACGGUGAAAUGAGUUCAUAGACACGUAGUGGGCCCGAAUCGGAGUUGUAACGAGAAAGUUAUGGUUAAAAGAGUCUCAGUGGCACAAUCAUAAAUAUUUCGAAGUUGGAUUUAUAAAAACCAGCUCAGCCUUCUCUCUCCUCGCGCCGACCUCUCUCCCUCUCCCGCGUCCGUCCCUUCUCUCCUUCAUAUCUCCGGCCACUGACCACGGCUGUGGACGGGGCCGGUACCAAAACGACCGGGACGACGUCCUCUUCCUUCCCCGACCGUUCCCCCCGACGACGCGGCCUGUGCUGGCCGAAAAAUGCAGAAAAUGGCCGGGAGGUCACCGAAACUUCAACGCCGUCGAUCUCCCUCCUCCGGCCACCAUUUCCGUCGACCCAGGCAUCCGGGACCAGGCAGACCCGCAGAAGAGACCUACAGGAGGUCUAGCUAGUUCGGACCAGGAGUGAGUGGACUUUCUUUCAUAAAUGAUUUUAUAUAAAUGAGUUUAUAUAAUGAGUUUUAUUAUUUGAUCUUGAACAAGUUUUAUUAAUUGUGAUUUUUCUUAGUAUGCUUGUGAAGUUACAUAUCUUAUUUAUAUGCUGCUUAGUCGAUAUGCUAAAGAGUUACAAAAAGCAGAGUUUGAGAUUUACAUCAGAUAAAAUAACAGCAUAGUUUCCGAUUUAACAAAAGUCAGCUAUUUAUCAGAUUUUUCAGGAGCUUUCUAUGUUCUUAUGAUAGCAGAGUUCUUGACUUAAUAAACAUUCAGUUAUUCAUUAGAUCUUUCAGAAAUAUUAUAAUAUUAUAAUAUUAUAUUUUCUCAGAGUUCUUGAGCAGAUUUGCCAAAAAUGUUACAUAUUUUAAACCACCGUGAGUACCCAUCUAUGGUUAUUACCCUCAGUUAUGCCGAUGUCUACCGACAUCCAGUUUACCCUCAGUUUUGUCAGUGCACUUGACAUUUGCCUCACGAGUGUCGGGAUCGCCCGGAUCGUGGGUGCCAGGAUUUGCGGCUCGGAUUGACUUGGUGUCACCGAGACCUGCCAGGAUUUGCAGCUCGGAGUGACUUGGUGUCACCGAGACCUGCCAGGAUUGCGGAUCAGGCUGACUACGGUCCCCUGAAUCCUGCCAGUUGCGGCUCGAGUUGAUUUUGUGUCACCGAGGCCUGCCAGCGGAUCAGGCUGACUAUAGUCCCCUAAAUCCUGCCAGUUUGCGGCUCGAAUAGACUUUGUGUCCCCGAGACCUGCCAGGGGAAUUGACGGAAUUACAGGGGUACAUCAGAGUGGUAGUUUUAAUUGAUUGCAGUGCUUUUAUGCAAGGUUUGAGUACAUUGCUUUUAUGCAAAUUUGAUUACAGUGUUUUUAUGCAAGUUUGGAUUUCAGUGCUUUCAUGCAAGUUUUAUUGCUCUUGAAUACGAUUGCAUAUAUUUAUAUAAAUAUGUAACUGCCUUGGUUUUAAUAUGCUUCAAAGGUAGUUUAGAUAUUCAGUCUUACUCUACUAUAUUUUACAAUGAGAGUUAGUAUAUUCUUAGGAUAUUUUAUGAACCUUUAUUUUUGUCCACUCACAUUUUCAAAUGUUUUGCGCUCCCAGGCUGUAGCGUGUACAGGAAAGCCACCACCGGGCCAUCUUGCCUUCCGCCCGCGCCUCCUUGUUACAAAAGUGUUGGUUUGUAAAAAGUUUCACUUCUCUGUAAACUAUUAGGAUUGCUCUGAUAUAUUGCCCUAGAGUGAGAUUGGAACUUUUGGCAUGUAUAUUGAAGUGCUGGCAGUUGGUUGUGUGGAUAUUUUGCUCGUUCUGACAUGUGGAAAUUUUGGGAUUGAGCAAAUUACAGGGGAGAUUCUGCCGAAUUUUCGGCAGGAGUCAAGGUUGAAAUUUCAAUUAGAAGGGCAAUUAGGUCAAUUGUUCCCGACAUUCGCCAAGUGUCGGACACGCACAGGGUUCGACUUGAAUUCCAAAGUGGAAUUUGGUUCGGGUCCUGUCAAAACAUGGGAAAACAAUUGAUUUCCCAUCUCUAAGUCUCAUUUUCCAUGAACCAAACGGGACCUAAAAGGAGAGAAUUUUUCGUUCUACAAAGAAAUGCAGAAAUUGGAAGGUGCUAUACUAGAUUUGACAAUGUAACCUAGGUUGGUUCAAUGAAUUUACGUAAAUGAAAAUGAUUGUAGAAGAGGGGCAGAUGGCAAAAUUGGAGGAGUGGAAGAAAUUCAUUUAGGAUUUCAAUGGAGUUUUGAUGCCGGCUAAAACUGGCCCACACUAUGAGAUUAAAUUCAUGCAUAAAAGGCUCACAUGAUAAUUGUGUUACCAAAUUUUUCUUAUAUACAAAAGGAAAGUCAGGAAUCAAAAUAAUUCCAAUAUUGAUUCAAGAUAAGCAAAUAUGCCAUUGAAGGAUCAAAAUAAUUCUAAAAUUUAUUUUAAGGUCUAAAAUAUCAAUGGUAUCGGAAAUAUUGAUAGUCUAAAAACACGAAAAUUUGAAUGAAAAUAUCGAGAUAUUAUCGAUAUCGAUAAAAAUUGAAUAAAAAUCACAGAAAUUAUAAGAAAAACAUGAAAAUUUUUAUUGAAACUUUGGAGAAUGUUUAUUCAGUCAAUUAUCCAUUAGUUUAUCACAAAAAAUUGGAAGGAAAUGCGUUGCAUGAUGGGUUAACUGAUUUAAGUUGAUUAUAUAGAGAGCUGACAAACACUGUGAGUUUAGAAAAUAUGUAAUAAUUAAUGAAAGAAGAUUAAACACACCAUAAUCAUUUAUAUAUAAUAAUUUACUACACUAUUUUAAACUUUAUACAUUGCAUGGUAAAAUACAUAAGUGACUUAGUACCAAACAUAGUUCUUAUAAGGUUCAAUUUUUUUUAUUUUUUUUAUUUUUUUGGUGAGAUGGGGCCAAGAAGGCUAGAACCAAAAUUUUCCCUAUCUUCAUCAUCUCUAUAUGUAGAGUAAGUGUAUUGUGAAAAGUAGUCAUUAAAUGAUAUGUAAUUGUUCAAAACAAAACAAUAUAAAUUACAUAUUUUAGCAUAUUAUCACAAAAACAUAAGCAACAUUGAGGUUAAGGCGUUGGAUGAGUGAAAUGACAAGGGUUUGAAUCCCCUUUGUGUGUGUGCUCUAUGUUUUUUUUCUUCAUUUUUUUCAUUACAUCGAUAUUUUCGAUAUUAUAGCGAUAUUACAACGAUAUUUUAACAAAAUAUUGCUGAAAUGUGAGCGAAAUUAUCGAUAUCAAUAUUUUUCGAUAUUAUUGUCGAUAUUAUUGAUAUUUAUACGAUAUGUGUAUAGAUACAUUCUGAAAUAUUUGUGAUCUAAAAAAACGAUAAUAUCCUCAAUAUUUCGUCGAUAUUAUCGAUAUUUUACACUACGAUUCUAGGUAAGUAGACAUGCCACCUAAGGAGAUGGGACUUUUUCGCUUGUACUUCAAGUUCAAGGCAGACAGCCCAAGUCCAUCUGGCACGAUGUGCCAUUUGGAGAAUGAAUAUGAAUGCAAGGACUCCCACAUUAUUCAUCCGAUGAUAUUCACUUAUUAGUUCGCCACGCGAUCACAUCCUACAUAACACAACAUGUUCGUGUUGAACUGAACUGUCAAUUCUUACACAUGCUAAGAUUAAACAUACUAAACAAAAGGCACCUAUACAUAUAUAUACAAACAUCAGUAAUUUUUUUAUUUCUUUUUCAUUAUCAUCAUCAUCUAGAUAGUAAUUAAAAAAAAAGAGUCAAUAGCUACAAACAUGUUCCUGAGAGAUCUCAUCACCCUAAACUUCGAAAUAGCAAAUAGACUAGGAAGAGCUGUCAUCAUAAUGCCUGAUGCAAUGCAUGACGCCCAUUCUGAAGCACACUCCCAAAUUAAAAGGCCUUUAUUAAUGAUAGUUUCAUCACUAUUCUUCUUUCGGCCUAUCAAGCAAAGCCCUCACAAAGCACAAUCACACACUUUCAUAAUCCUGCUUUGAUGUGAUAUAAGAUUUCAAUGGGCCAAAUCUACGUAAUAUAACGACAGGAGUGAGUGCCAACAGUGUUAUCCAACCAAUAACAUGAAAAACCGGCCAGUGAAAAGGGUUUAUCCUCAUCAGUAGGUUAUAUCCCAUCUGUAUUGGGAUGAUAACUGCAAGCUGACUAGAGAUAACUGCACGCUGACUAGAGAUAACUCUCAUCCUCACCUCCUGGUUGUGCUGUGUGACACAAAGAAAUUGAAAUCCGGAUGAUUAACUUGCAGUAGCCUGAGCCAGUUGUCAGCUGCUCUCAAUAGAGAAUUAGCCUUUUGACACUCGUGAACUCCAUUAAGAUUCCAAAAGGAGACCUUGAACUUGUAGGAAGCAAGCCCAAAGAUUGGCAACGAGUGCUUGAAGGUUGCAUUUUGUACCUCUCUAGCUUGUGCACCACUAAACCGAAGCCUAUCAGUGCUUGUACCUGCCAAAGGCCCCCAGACAAUAUCAUUAACCAUAAUGAGACCUGCAAAACACACAAGUAGAGAGAGAGGGAGAGAGUGAUGGUACCCUUUAUGGGAGUCGACAGGGAAUGAAAGGUUAAGAAGCAGGCAUCCAGGCUCUGUAGUGUUGGACCUGUAGGUAUCCUAUAUAUCGGAUACCUUUAUCAAGAAUUUACACAUAAUUUUUUUUAGAUUUAUGAUCAGAUUUGUAUCAAUCCUCUGUUGUAUAAUCACUGGACUGGACAAGGGUAUAAAAUGCAUACCAUGCUACAGAAACCCAACUAGAAGGUGAUAAAUCACAGCUCCUGUAUGUUCUCAGCUCUGGAAAUUGAGAUGCAAGAACUGAAAUCUGUUGGAUGCAAGUGGUGAAUGUAUGUUACAAUCAAAUUCAAAAGGAAAAAAAAAAAAAAUCAAAUUCAAUGUGGUGUUCUGAGAAGAUCAAUGACUUGCCUUAUCAGCCAAAGGUUCACGACCAAAUGGUUGAUCAUGCUCCAUAUAUUGAAAUAUAAGCUGACCAGGAGGGUUGCAAACCUCACCACUUUCGUCACUCGAGGAACCAUUGAAGGGUUUAUUCCUUGGUAAGGCUCUAUUCCAACCAUGGCCAUUUACAUCUGCAACAUUCUGCCAACUUAAAGCACUAUAAGGAGCACCAUUUAAUCCUCUUUCUGUUCCAUAAUCACUGCUUCCAUCGCUACUUGUCUCCCUAGAUGACUCUGCAUCACUCUCAUCACCAGGCCUCCUGUAACAAGAUGCACACAAGAAAAGUUACUAACCAACAGAUUGAUCGCCUCUGAAUGAACAUUGAGCUUGUGUUCUUCUGUACAAAAUUUAUUCACGGCUAAGGAAUAUGUAAUUCGUUGGCUCCAGUACUAGCAUAUUUCACUAAAGCCAAGAAUAAUACAGUUCAAACUAGCUAUUAGCAUACAACUCUGGGUAACAUUUUGCCAAGUCAAGGUGAGAUUAUGCCAAAAACUGUAAGACAUUCACUUUACCACAAAGUAACACCAUAUCCAAGUACCACAUCAUGCAUCAUAUCAAAGAUCUUGUCAUCCACUGCCUAUAAGUUGCCUCACCUGAUGAAUAGACCAACCCCAUUACACUGCAAUAAUUCGUCUUCACAACCUAAUUUCAAAAUCUAUCUUUCCCACUGCCUAUUAUCACCUCCAUUUUCCCCACAGAGCUUGAUAAUAACACAUUAACUAUCCUCAUAUACUGCAAGAUUCAGCUACAUUUAAAACAAAUUGUAACACAACCAACAAAGUGGUAUCCACAAUCGCCUUAACCAUUCCAUUCAAAGAAUUGGUGGAUUUCGUAAAACAGUUUUUAAGCUACAAGUGAAGGGGCUGUAAAUGAAGACAUUAAAAUUUCAAAACACUGUAACAUACAAAUACAAUCAGGAUUUCAGGACAUUGUAAUAGACAGAUAUAAUCAGGGCAAGUAGACAACUAAAUCUCAGAGAGUGAGUGACUCAACAAAGAGAUCAUAUACAACAACCUCAAAUGAAGUGCAAGGAAUCCAACAAUGAUAAUAAAAAUAAUUAAUCACACCAAAAUGCACAGCAGGCUCCAUCUGCUUCAGUCACUAAAUGCAAAUUUCCUCGAGAUUUUCCCCACAAAAUGACACUUAUGUCAACCCAUAAACUAGACACAAUAAAGGAUGAACAGUAACAAUAAAGCAUGAACAUUGCACAGAGUUUAGCAACUACAAACAUAAACUAUAAUCCAGAGUGCUUAGGUAGAAAAAUCACAAAGACUGAAUUGAUUGAAAGUGUUGUGUUUACGAUAUUGCUGACCUUAUUCUUGUGGAGGGCUUUGAUGGGUCUACAUAGAGCUGAAUAGCAGACAAAUAAGGAACAUAGUACUGGAUAACAGAGUCACUCCCAUUUAACAAAAGCGGGACACCUGCACCGUACGCACUCCACUCCUUGAAAGACUCCCAUAAAUCUCCAAGAACAAAGUAGGGAUGUAAAUCUGGCUCAUGAGUUCUCCAUCUCCUCACGCUUGUCUAUCCAUCACCAAAAUGGGACCUCAUGAGAAACGCAUGUACAAUUACAGUAACAACACACCAAACCCGCAACAGGAAAUUGCCAUACAAAAUUGAAAACCCAAUACGUACGAUUCUUCAAGUAGAAAACUUUAACUAAAGUUUGACAGAUAAGUUGUAUUGAGCUCAAUUUGGAGUGUUUAGAAGUGAUACAGAUAACCAAUUUGAAAAUUCUCAGCAAUGCCACAAAAAUAUACACAAUUCCUCGCCUAAAUUUCCAUAAUCUGGGUUGUUUGAGUGCAAUUAACCAUUAUUUUCUAGCAAACUCAAACAAAGCCUCACAGCCCAUAACACAAGUAAUGAUUUUUCUUAUAUAUUUCACGAUGAUUUUGCAAUACCUUGGGGAUAUACUGAGCCUGAACCACGGGCGUGGUGUACUCCAAGAACCGAUCCAAAUUCGUGGCAUCCGUGAGCACUGCCCGACCCGACCCGGAACUGUGCGACGUCGCACAGUCGUCGGACUCCACAGACUGCCUUUGAUGCUUCUCUUGCUCUAGCUUUUGUCGCUGCUGCUGCUGUCGUUGUCGUAUCGCUGGCGGGUUGUAGAACCGGUUCUCACCCCGAGUCCGACCGAUCGAGACGCCGCCGUUGCCUGACAUUGCCUAAAAAUAAAACCAGUAUACGGUGUCGUAUCGAGGCGAAACUGUUUCGAGAGUAUGGUUUUGAGCAGACGAGAGCUGAAAGGGGUUUUUGAGGGAAAGCGAAGAGUCCAGAAGAACUUGUGGUCUUGUGGGCUUGUUCCAGAAGAGCUUUCUAUAUAUGCUGGAUGCGCAAUUACGAUAAUGUCCUUCCCUGUUCGAGAUUGACGGACUUGUCCAGCUCCGAAGUGGAAACUGGAAUGUAUAGUCUCUACGCUCCCUGAUUCUGCGAAUCUACUUUCAGAUGCGUUCUUCAGGGCAAGUGGGUGGGCCUGAACCAGCCCAAUUUAGCUGGGUCUAGUGGGCCUUGACCCGACCCGUUAAAAGACUUGAUUGUUCCUCAUUUCUCGGUGAAUACAUAGAGGUGUAGGCAAAGUAUAAUUCUAUCGAGUUUGAUGGUCGUUGUAUUUUACUGUACUGAUGACAAAAGCUUGAAUCAGUCGUCUAUGAAAUUAGGCUUUUAGAAUUCAUGGGGGUAUUUAUGAGAAUUAUCAAGUGGUUUACAAUAAUAAAGAAAUCAGAUUGCUGAUAUAUAUAUAUAUAUAUAUGUAUAUUUUAAUACCAAACAAGCGAUAGCAUUUUAUUAGAUCAAUUAAAAAAGUACAUAGGGAGCCAUCUCGAUUAGCAAUACGACGGAUAUGGGUAAAGUUUCCCAAUGACCAAAGUCAGCUCUAGAGUGGAAACGAUCCGGAGAGAAUAAAUCACAAAGUACUUGUCUAAAAACCCCUAUCUACUGUUUAAGUUGUCUUAGAUCAAGUCAAUUACAUCAAGGACAAAACUUGGCCGCCGAUAUAACUCUAGAGAAACUAGACCAACUAGCAAAUUCAACAAUUUUUUUGAGAAUUACAAGAGAAAACCAGACAACUCAUAGAGUUUCUGGACUUUAAUACCAAACUACACCAAAUCUAAGAAACCAAACAACACUGACUAAAGGAGCAGCAACACUUUGCUCUACAAAUGAUGCACAACCAAAGCCAUCUAGAUCCAUAACAAAGACAACCAGAUCUGCCAAGAAGAGAGAAGAGAAGAACAUCAUGAUUUGCCAAGGCACGAGAGAAUACCGAAAAUCUGGUGGGGAAUAAACCCUAGAUAUGAAGCGUCUUGUUCUAUCUCCUCCACUCUUUGCCAUAUGCUUUGCUGUGAAAAUCGACGGGAUCACAAAGGGGGGAGGGAGAAGGGAAGGGGGGGGGGGGGGGGGGAUGGGAAGCCACCGAUCUAAAGGGGGGGGGGGGUCCCAAGGUUUCUUUACUUUUUGUUAAAACUCUCCUCCUAGAAAAUUACGCCUUCUUAAGAAACAACAUUACUUGCAAUUGCAUGAUACAGUUAGUUUGAUUGUACUCUGGGUCAAAGAUGAGAUUCAUUUGUUAUAUCAUUCAUUAUGAUCCUUUAGUAAUUGACAUAUAACUUAUCAUGUCGUGAUUAGGUCAACUCAUAUAGUUAUAAAUAGUACGCUUUAAAUUGAUCAGAUUUUGUGAUAGAUGAGAUCCAUUUGUUCUAUCAGUUACCGUGAUCCCUUGGUGUGCGACAUGCCUUGUCGUAUGGUGAUCAUGUCAACUCAUGCAGUUAGAAAUAUUAUGCUUUAAAUUGAUCAUGGCAAAUACAGUUAUUAUGAUCCUUUGGUAGUUGACAUAUGCCUUGUCGUGUAGCGAUGGUGUCAAACUUUAGCCGUGUAGUCUUCAAAUUUUAGUUUUGUCAUGUAGUCUUCAAAUUUUAGUUAAAUUUUAGCUAACAUAGCUAUAAGGAUGGAAUUAUGAAUUUUUCAACGGGUGAGCCAGCUAAAGUUAUUAGCUUAAAAUCUAAUGAUAAUUUAUUGGUAUUGGUAACAUGCUCUGACUGUACCUUCAUUCAAUAGAUUUGUGGUUGAGUCAACAACAUGCUCUGACUAUGCCUAUUGAUAUUGGUAAGGUAUGAAAUUGUAUAUAUUUUUAAUUUAUUUUUAGGUUAAGAUACUAGGCUACAUUGGUGUAAUAUUUUUUUCUCUCAAAACCUUCCCUGGGCUACAGCCCAUGGCAACCUACAUAGUGGUUCCACCAGUGCAUAGCUAAAAAGUUAUGAUAGCAAACUACUUAAAAUGUGUUUUCUCCAUCAAUGUUCUCUAUUUUGACUAAUCUAUAAUAUUUUAUUGUUUUCCUCUUCUCUUCUCUAAAUUAAAAGUUCAUUAAAAAAUCAAAAAGUAAGCGGUGAAAGAGAGUUGUGGGCCUAGGAAAAGAGAUGAGGAAGAAAUGGAGAACCCUCAAUUUCUCUCUCCUCCUCUCUGAAUAUAGAGAACAACCAAACUCAAAUAAGAAGUUCUCCAAAAUAGAGAGCCAUAUAGUAAGUAUGCUGGAGGUGCGUUUUGCCCUUAUUCUAGUUAAAAUGCCUAAUGACAAGAGUAUAGCAACUCUGCUGGAGAUGCUCUUAUAUCAUUUAUUACGAGAUCUGCUAAUUGACAUAGACCUUCUUGUAUAGUUGUUCGAUCAACUCCUGUAGUUAGAAAAUAUAAUACUUUGUUUUUGGUCAAGUAGAAGAUAUACUUUAAAUUGAUUAUUUGGUAUGAUAUCCAUUUAUUAUAUAAAUGAUCACAAUCUUUUGGUAAUUGGCAUAUACAAAUAUCUUUAAAAAAAACCUUGCAAAUAUCAUAAAAUCCAUAAUUUUCAUUUUAUUUAUUGCAAAUGAAAGGAAAUACAACAUUCACUCUUCAAUCAAAAGCUCCAAGCACAAGCCAAACACUAUUUUCGAAGGAAAAAGAAAAAAAGAGAACGAAAACCACACCAUUAUUUGAUGCCAAAGAGGACAUAAGAUUGAAUAAUACAGCUAUGAAAAUUUAGUUGUAGGCAUCAUGGUGUUCCAAGAGGUAGUUCUCAAUGAGCUUGAAGAGGUGGGAGGCCUUCUCUUUGCCAGCCUUAACAUGCUCUUCCCUGAUCUCAAAAUCACCCUUUGUGUGGUAGUGGCUGGUGCUCUUGACGACAGAACCACUGCCAGAUGCCACCAACUUAGUCUCAUAUGAGAUCUUCUCAAUUGUCUCAGAGAUUGCAUCUCCUUCAAUCACACUGUACUUGUACACGAAGUUCUCUUUGUCAAUCCCAUCAAUUCUGUGCUUCACAUAGCUGUAAGUGCUACCUGCACAAAUAUAUACAUAUAUACCAGAUGAAUCUUUCUGUUAUGAACUUAUGAGAUAAGAUGACCCCAAAACAAUAUUUCUGUAACAUUAUUAUAACAAACCAGAAGAAAAAAAAAAUCUCUAAACUUACCUUCACCAAAGUUAAUUUUCUUGAUGGUUCCAACGCCUCCAUCUCCUUCAAGGAUCUCAGUGCUCUUAACUGCCUGUGGUGCAAUUUUUGGGACGAGGUUGUCAGCAUCAAGAACAAAGGCAUUGAACAACCUAGCAGGGGGGAUGACAGAGUUGAUCUCGGUUUCAUAUGUGAACACACCCAUGAUUCUGUAAAAAGUGUUUGGGAAGUGAGAAAAAAAUAAUUGAUGGAGAGGGAAGGCUAAGAAAGAUGAUGUAAUUAAAUGGGAGAUUUUGGGUUGUGAAGAAGAGAGGAGUUACGGUAUUUAUAGGAACCAAUUGAUCAAAAGGUUAAUGCAAGUUUGUAAUUGUUUAAUUGGUUGUAUUCAUUGUGACGUGGGAGCCAUUACUUUUGUACAAAAAAAUUUGUAAUUUAGUCAUGGGAAGGGCCAUCUGCAAAUUGAAUUUAAAAUUCCAAUUAAUCCACGAGGUGGACUAACCUCAAUUAUUUUUUGCCUAUUGUUUGAAAAAAGUUAAAAAUUUCCAUGUGCAUGAAAUGAGUGCAUUGGCUGAGCAUAUUCUGUAACAAUAUAGUAGCAAAUUGACAGUGUCUGUGACUCCAUAUAUAUGAUGGUUUAAAGAAAUAACUUAGUUCUUUGUUGGCUAUUGAAAUUUGAAACCACUCUUGGGCUGCACCGAUUAAGACUAGAUAAUGAUACAUAUAAAAGUAUGAACGAAUCAUAUUAUUUAAGCAAGUUGGCAAUAAUUUAGUUUAUCUGACCAUACAAUGUAAUGUGGAUGUCUCUUGCUGGUUUAUUAAGUGGGUCUUUUAAUAAAUUCUUUAAGGGGUCUAGUUGAAUUGAUGACUCCAGUUUUUCUCAGUUGUGGAUUUCUGGGUCACUAUGUUUUUUAUGUUGAUGUUUGAUGAAUGUUGGGUUUCUUAGUGAAUAAUUUCUAGUGAGGGGGAUUUCUCAUUCACAUACAAUUAAGAGUAUUUCCAACUGGAGGGGCUAACCUGGGCGAGAGGCCCUUAGGCCUCCAAUCACGUUUCUAGCAGCUAAGGUUUGUCAGGGAAACAAUGGGCUCCACCAACUUGUGCAAGGCCCAAGGCAAGACUUGCCUUGGCAAGAUAACUUAAUGAUGACGUCAACAUCCAAUUUAAAUUUAAAAAAAAAAAAGAAAAAAAAAGAAAAAAAAAGAAAAAAAAAGAAAUCAAAAAAAUCAGAAUUUUUUAUUAUUAUAAAUACCUAGCCAUAUUCUAAACUCCCCACACCAAAACUCUAUAUAAAUUCCUCUCCUCAUAUCUAAAUUGUGGUUGCCCUUAAGUGCAAUGGGUGGAAAAAAAAGAAAAAAAAGAAGAAGAAGCUAGGGCAGGCACUAUUCAUGUGAAUAGUAACAUCUCUUGCCUUCCCUUGCUUUUUGCCAGCAAAUGGGUGAAAAUGCUCUAAGGUGCCAUGGUGAUUCAAAACAUGAGACAACUAAUCUACAAGUCAAGUUAAGGUCAUUUUUCAAUGGGUUAGACCUUAUUGGCAUAAUUUUUUUUAGUUAAUUUAAGUUUUAGUCACAAAAAAACUUUCAAUUUUGGAAAAAGUCAAAGCUUUUUCAAAAAAGAUAGAAAAAUCUCUCAACUUUCAAACAAAAAACAUGCAAAUGUAAAUGAUUCCCUAGAAAAUUCAAAAAUAAAUAAGGGCAAUUUUGUCCAUUUUGGCUUCUUUUAAAAAAUUUCUCUCUCCUUUAGCCUUUUCUAGAGUCUCCUUUUUUUUUUUGGUUCUACUAUUAUGUAUUUUUACAACUGACCUGGUCAUUGGCCGUGUUACAUAAAAAAGUUAGUAAACGUGGACUGUGUAUCAAUGGAUGAGAGCAUAAGACUUGUUUCUAAAUUAAAUAUUUUGAGCCAUUUCAAUUUGAAGAUGUGAAAACCCCCAAAAGGAAAACUAUGUGCAAUCAAUUGUUGACCCAUUGAUAUUGGAGCCCACGUUGAAAUGCAAGUCAAGUCAUCCUAAUUUGAAGUUCUGGAAGUGCAUACUAGCUAGUUGUGAGGUACGUACGUAGGGACAACCAUAUUUGGAAAUCUGGAAUUUACUUCUUUGAAAAGUUUCUGCUUCCAACUUUUGAUCAAUUAGGUAUUAGGCACCGCCCUAUUUGAAAAAAAUGGUUCCAUUGCUUAAUAAAAAUUAUUAUUACACGUAGAUGAUUAAUUGAUGCAUGUAAAAUUUACCAUAAACUCGUAUUACUUAACAGCUAACAAUUUAUUUACGUUCAUGUAAACGACUCUCUUGAGCGUGCUACUGUAACUACUGUUAUUACAUGCUGUGCAGUAGGGGUGGGCAUUUGAACCGCAAAACCGUAAAACCGAACCAAACCAAUUCGGAAAAAACCGAAAAAAACCGUGUUGACCAAAAAAGUCAAAAACCGAGAAAAAUCCAAACCGAACCGGUUCAGACCGGUUCCAGUUCCGGUUUUCCAUCCUAAGGAACCAGUCCAAUUCGAACCGGUCCAAUAGAAUUAAUUUAUAUAUUUUUUAAAUAUUAUAUAUAUUUAUAUUUGAAAUUAUAUAUAUUUUCAUACCUGUCAAAUUUUGAUUGGGUGUGUAUGUUGCUACCAUAGGUAGCGCACACACAGGAUUACACCAAAUUCAGAUUGGGUUUUUUCAUUCUUCGUUCUUUCCUCUCCUCCCUCCCAUUUCGUUUCAUACUCAGCCAGCCGCCAGCCACCAACCACCGAUUCCAAACCUCUCUCUCAACCAGCACGUCACAGUCACACCCCUCUCUGCCGCCGCUCUUCUCUUAGCCUCUCUCAGUCGUUGCAGGUCAGAUUCUCUCUCUAUCUCUCUCCUUUUUUUUUUCUUUCCCCAAUUCAAUUUUCUGACUCUCUCUGUCUUCCAGCAAAUCGGAGAUCCCAUUCACUCGCCGCGUCCACCUCUUCAUCUCGUAUGGCUCUCUGUCUCUGUCUCUGUCUCUCAGGUAUUGUUCAUCUCUCUCUCACAGCUCAUCUUCGAUUCUGCGAAAAUUGGAUAGGUCUUAUAUUUUCUAGGGUGCAAUAAUCUAAUGUGAUGUGGGUUUUGGAAUGACAGACAGACAAAGCUUCAAUGCUGGAUGAGAUCAUCGAUUAUGUCAAAUUCCUCCAGCUCCAAGUCAAGGUGCUCUUCUUCUUUAUGUUUUUUAUUUUUUAUUUUUGCCCUUUCUGGAGCUGAGUUCAUUAUUUCUUAAUUAAAGAAAAAGAAAGAUUCCCUAGUUGACAUUGUUUGCUGGAUUAGAUAAUGAUAAUCAAAUAAUGGAUUUCUGAGUAAUUUUUUUUUAUUCAUUCUGGGGAAUGGAUGUGAAUUUGUUAUGUUUACACAACAUGUAGGUUCUGAGCAUGAGCAGGUUGGGCGGUGCAGCUACUGUUGCUCCUCUUGUUGCUGAUGUGUCCUCUGAGGUAAAUUAAAAUGAAGAAACCCCUUUUAUCAACAGCAUUCAAUAUUUCAUCCUCAAGUUUUAUGAGUUUAUCUUUAAGACAGAUAUGACUUAUUACUGAUUCAAUAAUAGCCACAAGUAAUUUGCAUCUAUAAACUACUUUGCAAUACUAGAAUCAGACAGUAUAUAAAGGUUUUGCUAGUCAGUUAUGUUCUCAUUAAGCUCCUUCAGCAAAUUACUACUAGAGGUUAAAGUAGUUCUUCUCAAUAACAUGCUGUUACUUCCAAUCUUACUUGAUCUUUCUGUAUUGAUCAUUUUGUUCCAACCAUAGCUCCAACUACUUUUCAAUGUUAGGAGGAAUUUAAUUUGGGUUGUAAUGUAUAUUUGGUUGAAUUUGGGUUGUAUUUGGCUAGUAAUUUAUUUUGGAACUUAUUUUGUUGAAGUUUGAUUUAAUUUCGGUUGUAAUUUAUAUGUUGAAGUUGGAUUGAAUUUGGAUUGUAUUUUUGUUGAAGUUGGAUUCAUUUUGAUGAUGUUGAAGUUGGAUUGAAUUUGGAUUGAAUUUUUGUUGAAGUUGGAUUCAUUUGAAUUUGGAUUGUAUUUUUGUUGAAGUUGGAUUCAUUUUGAUGUGUUGAAAGCUUGAUGGAACCUCAAAUUUGGGGUAUGUUAGUAUAUAAAUACAUUUUGGGCAGAUUUGUUAAAAUUAAAAAAAAAAAAAAAAAAACCGGAACCGCAGGAACCGAAUCGGAACCGGACAGGUCCGGUUUGGUUCGGAUUUCUGUAUGGAUGUUGAGCAGAGCCGGUCCAAACCGAACCGGUCUGCGCUAUCGGAUCAGGUUCCAUUUUUUCCCCGAAACCGGUCCAAACCGAACCGUGCCCAGCCCUACUGUGCAGGUUGAUGAACAUAUUAACAUAAGAAAUCAGGGCAGAACUUUACCAAGGACAGAUCAUAGAGAUCUGACGUUAUUCCUCCAAAAUGUGGUAAUUAGUUUUUUUUUUUUUUUUUUUUUUUUUUGCAGAAAUAAAAAGACAAUGUUAGUCCUUCCCUUUAAUUUGUUCAAAUGAAAUUAGCACAUAAUUUGUUUAAAAUUACUUCAAGUAUAUAUAUACUUCAUCAGGUGGUAAAACCAAAAAGAAAAAUAAUCAGAUCUCACAAAACAAUAAUUUAUAGAGAGCUUGCUCAUAUAUAUCAUAUGCGGCCACUUUUGAAUAAACUUUUAGAGCGCCUUCAUUGACUGAAAUAAUUAUUCAAGAAACUCAAAAUCAUGAUUUGUUUUCGUCAAUUGAAACAUGCACUGAACUUUGCCAAAGCUUUUUUUGUUCUAGCCAAACCAUCAGCCUCAUUCUCUAUAAAUAUACCACCUCUGCUACUUACAUUUCUUCAUCUCAAACUUAAGCUUUCUAAGAUCAAUUUAAUCACCUCUACAGAAUCCAUUCUUUAUUUGAUCACAUUUUCUAAGCUCUUAAAUCAUCAUCAUAAUCAUGGGUGUGUUCACUUAUGAAACUGAGUUCACCUCUGUCAUCCCACCACCAAGAUUGUUCAAGGCCUUUGUUCUUGAUGCCGACAACCUCAUCCCGAAGAUUGCCCCACAAGCAAUCAAAAGCUCAGAAAUUGUUCAAGGAGAUGGAGGGGUAGGAACCAUCAAGAAGAUUACCCUUGGUGAAGGAAGCCAAUACAGCUAUGUGAAGCAUCAGAUUGACAGCAUUGACAAAGAAAACUUUGUCUACGGCUACAGUUUGAUUGAAGGAGAUGCUAUAUCUGAAACCAUUGAGAAAGUCUGUUAUGAGAUUAAGUUGGUGGAAUCUGCUGAUGGAGGUUCCAUCAUAAAGAACACCAGCAACUACCACACAAAGGGAGAUGUUGAGAUCAAGGAAGAGCAAGUUAAGGCUGGCAAAGAGAGAGCCUCUGGUUUGUUCAAGCUUAUUGAAAACCACCUUGUGGCCAACCCAGAUGCCUACAACUAAAAUGUUCUUCAUGUGAUAAUGUAGCAUGUUAAAGAGAGUCUUUGGUUCCUACUUCCAGAGUCAUCAUCAUUCAAUGAUGUUGUUAUCCCUUUUCUUUUCUUUCCUUGUUGUGUCUGGCCUUUUGCUAUAUCAAAGUGUGAAUGCUGUAUUUCUUUCAUCCUCUAAUAAAUAAAAUGAAUAUCAUUUUAUAUUCUUAUUGUAUUUGCAAGUUUUGUCUAUAACAUUAUUGCAAAAUGAGUUACCAAAGCAAGCAUGCCCUACUUUAACUCAAAUAUACUCUGUUUUCUUGUAUGCCAUUUGGGAAUUCAUACCCUGGGAGAUCAAAUUAAUCAAGUAGGAUUGCUUUAAAAAUAAAUGAGAGUGAAUGCUGCAGAGUUUUUCUUUUGAGCAAUAGCAUGCCUGCAUUAGGCAGAAGAUUAAGGCCAAAUUUGUAGUCUGCUAUCCGGUGUCUUUUAUAUCCAUUCGGAGAUGAAAAAUGGUUAGACUUUAAAGUCUUUGAGUCCGUGUUGGAUUGAAUCACAUUUCCUACUGUGUUGAGCUGAACUGAGCUGAAUACUUUUAAUGGGAGAGCAAUUUGAGCUAAAAUGUUCAUGUUGGAUCACCAAAGUCUAUGAGGAAAACUUGUACCGGGGCUGUUCAUGCUGCUUUGUUCUGUUCAGCUACAUAGCACUGUGGUAGGAACAUUCUUACACAAGUUGUUAUCGGACUGAAGUAAUGACAUAGCAUAGGAUUACUGUUGAAUCAAUUGGCCUAAACUGGACACGUUCUGAUGUGUUGAGAAUAUUUUCAUUCCCAACGAACAUGUGACAUAAUCAAAGUCUAAGCUGAUAAGUUAUUCUUGCCACACACAUACCAAAUCCAUAAAGUCCACUUUCAAAGAUACAAGUGAAUUUCGGUUCUGCACUUCGAACUAUAUUUGAAGUAUUGCUUUCUAAUGUCAACCGAAUUAGUCACCGUUAAUUUGUUUAAACGUUGAACGAAUCAUAAUAAAUGUUGGAAUUAACAAACUUCGUGUACCAAAUGCAGCAGACAGUUUGAUUUGUAUUUGAUUAGACCAAUAGCAAAGUUGUUUAACUCAUAAUAUACAGAUGUGGAAUUCAUUCUGCACAUAUAUUUUCACAGAAAAUCAAAUUAAUUGUGUCCAAAUUUUCUUUAUUGAAAAAUUGAAAUAAAAUACAAGUACAUUACUCUUUAAAACCACACCAUUGACUAAACAGAAAAAAAGACGACAGAUGAAGAUUGUUGUCCAAACAUGCAAUAUCACAGACAUGUUUAGUUGUAGGCAUCAAGGAAGGCCACGAGAUAGGUCUCAAUAACCUUGAACAAAGCAUGGGCCCUUUCUUUGCCAGCCUUAACAUGUUCUUCCUUGAUCUCAACGUCUCCCUUGGUGUGGUAGUUGCUGGUGUUUUUUAUGAUGGAACCUCCAUCUGCAGAUGCCACCAACUUAAUCUCAUAAGAGAUUUUCUCAAUUUUGUCUGAAAGAGCAUCUCCUUCAAUCAAACUGUAGUUGUACACAAAGUUAUCUUUGUCAAGCGCAUCAACCUGGUGCUUCACAUAGCUGUAUUCACUUCCUGUAAUUUCAAAAUUUGAGGAUGGUUAAUGUCAACAUUUUUAGAAAUUAAGACACAAAUGCUUUCAUUUUACAUAUUAACUAGAAAACCAAGUUAGUAGAGAGAGAGAGAGAGAGAAUGGUGGAAACAAACCUUCACCAAAGCUAGUCUUCUUGAUGGUUCCAACACCUCCAUCUCCUUCAACAAUUUCAGCACUUUUAACUGCUUGAGGAGCAAUCUUUGGGACUAGGUUGUCAGCAUCUAGAACAAGGGCUUUGAACAACCUAGGUGGAGCAAUGACAGAGGUGAACUCGGUUUCGUAUGUGAAGACACCCAUGAUGAUGAUGAUUUAAGAGAUUAGAAAAUGAUCAAAGAAAGAAUGAAUGUGGAGGAAGCUAAAAGAGAAUGAUUGAUAUUGGUGUGAGGAAAUGUGAGCACCAGAGGGAGUAUUUAUAGGUUAAGGGUGAAGUGACCCCAAUGGAUAUAAAGUUGUUUGUGUGGACAAGUUUCCCAUGUGAAUAUUUUAGUCAAAGAAAGCCACCUCUACAAGUUGAUUUUAAAAAUUCCAACUUAUUACAACCAGCUGAUGUGCUAAUUAAUUUUCUAAUAGAAUGUUCUAAAACACAUGUCUACGUACACAGUCCAUUCUGAUUGUCCUUUUUGAUGAUCAGAAUACUACAACACAACUGGUGUGCUGCUGAGUCUGCUGACUGCUGACUGCUGACUCAAUAAUAUCCUUAUUCAUUCAAUUGAAAAAUCUAAAGUCCUUUUCACUCUCAUUUUCAAAAUCUAAAGUCUUUGAUAUACAGCUCAGAUUUCACACAGCCUGACCUUCAGCCUCAAUCUAUAAAUAGCACCUCCAGUUCUCACAUUUUCCAGCAUCAAAUAUCAUCCCUGCCAAUCAUCUAAUCCUUUCACACUUUCAUUCUUUCUUUGAUCAUUUUCUAAGCUCAAAAAUCAUCAUCAUGGGUGUCUUCACAUACACAGACGAGUCCACCUCAGUCAUCCCCCCACCAAGAUUGUUCAAAGCCCUUGUUCUUGAAGCUGACACCCUCAUCCCCAAGAUUGCUCCCCAAUCAGUGAAAAGUGCUGAAAUUGUUGAAGGAGAUGGAGGUGUUGGAACCAUCAAGAAGAUUAGCUUUGGUGAAGGUUGGUUUCUGCCAUUGCCUCUUCUAAGUUUAACUUGUUUGCCUAAUUAAUGACAUAAAUCUUGAAAGCAUUAAUCUCUUAAUUUAUAAUUAUAAUCCUCAUUUUACAGGAAGUCAUUACAGCUAUGUGAAGCACCGGAUCGACGGGCUUGACAAAGAUAACUUUGUGUACAGCUACAGUUUGGUUGAAGGAGAUGCUCUUUCAGACAAGGUUGAGAAAAUCAGUUAUGAGAUUAAGUUGGUGGCAUCUGCUGAUGGAGGUUCCAUCAUAAAGAGCAGCAGCAACUACCACACCACAGGGGAUGUUGAGAUCAAGGAAGAGGAUGUUAAGGCUGGCAAAGAGAAGGCCACUGGUCUGUUCAAGCUCAUUGAGAACUACCUUGUGGCCAACCCAGAUGCCUACAACUAAAACCUUAAACGAAAUAUACUGCAUGUGCUUUCUCUGUCAUUAUAUUGGUGUGGCUUUCAUUUUUCCUUUCCUUUUUGUUGUCUAUCAAGCCAGAGCUGCUUUGGCUUGCACCCAAGGCUAUGAUAAAUUGUAAUUUUUCUAUUUGAUUUGAUUCUAAAUAAAUAAAGCAAAAAUCAGUUGCUGGUCUUUACAAAUUUGGUCUGCAGUAUCUUUUUUUUCUUCAAUUUCAUGAAUUUAUAUAUAUUUUUUUUUACAAAUGAAAAUUUACUAGUGCAAAGUAAAGAUUCGAUAAAAUUGGAAUGAUAAGGAUGAAACACAUAAAUCGAGAAAUGGCCCUUUGGUUUGGUCAAGGUUUUUGAGAAGUAUCAUUUGGCCCUGAUGCCUACAAGUAAAACUAUCUGUCACAGUACUGCUUGUAAAGAGCAACAAAAGUCUUGUGUCCUCUUUUUCUAAAUUCAUUCAUUGGUGCAGCUUUCAUUUCUAUGAUGAGUGUGUAUUUAUUUGAAUUCAAUCUUUAUAAUUAAAGGAACAUCAUUUGCUAAUUAUUUGAUUCCGCUAAUUAAAGUGACUCAGUCUAUUUGCAUGUCUAAAAUGUUGAAAAAAAAAAAAAACUAAAAAAAAAAGAAAAAGAAAAAGAAAAAGACAUUGCAAAGAAUCAUAUCUUCAACAUGAUCAGUCCUGAGUCUAUUUGCAUGUCUUAAAUGUUGGUCAAUCCUCCUCAGUCUGACCAUAACCAAUCAAUCUUAAAUUUCAAAUCAACCGCCACGAUUUCUUACACUAUAGUAUGUGUGAGUUUAAUAUGUUAUCGCCCCUUUUAAUACGAAAGGUCUUUAAAAAAAAAAAAAAACCAGCCAUUUCCAAUUUUCCAUUGUUUGGAAUGGCACUCAGCCGCGUUCUUGCUAUCUGUCGCCGCAAAUGCCCAGCAAGUUGCUAGUGAGAAUUGGUAAACAUAAUUAGCUAGUUGUUGGGCAUAACGAUUGCGGACAACGUAGCAGAUAUCCACAAUAUGAAGAUUCACGACACUGUUUUCAUUAAUGUCUGUUUGGGCCAAAAUUAUGCACGCCAGCCUAUUUUUUGGUCAAAAGGCCAUGAACGAAACAUUUUGGGCUUUUAUCUAGGGGAAUUAGAAAUCAAACCAAGAAGCUAAAUGAAGCCUAGGCCUUUUCAGCAGAUUGUGAAUAUAGCCCUAGUCUAAAAAUAUAAAAGAACCAUUAUUGGCCACUCACUCUACCCAAGGAAAAAGCAAGUCAGCAGAUCUUUCUAAAAAUAGGUUUCUCUCAAAAAAUCCCACGCGACUUUCUGACUUAGAAAAAGUCAAAAUUUUCAACUAUCACAGAGGAGGUGAUAGGGAGUUAAUGAAGGUAGGUCUUACAUGAGGAUUUCUCCAUUCUUUCUGCAGCCAAGGAAAGAAGAUCAAAUCCCAUUUUUUAUAUACAGAGAAACUCUGCACCAAAGCAGAUGACCUUUCCAAGAGAUAAGCAGACUACGUUUUCAAGAGAUAAGUAGGGAGCAAGGAGGUUGCGCACCAAGAAAAGCAAACUGACCAUCAUAGCAGAUUGUGUUUUUACAAGUAACAAACAAAGAACAAAAAGAGUUCGUUUUCUCUAAGAAAAAAGUAAGGAAAAGAUCACCAUCGGAACUGACUAUUGAUGGUUCUUCUCUACCAAAAAAAUAACUUACUUUUUUUUUUGGGUGCAUUUAAAAGAAAGAUAUUUUGAAAGAUCUGCCGCCCAUUAUUUAAAGAUUAAAAACCCCACUUCAGCAUUUCCUAUAAAUAUGAGAGGAGGUGAACAGAUCAAAUGACAGCCAAAAAAUCAAUCAAGACAAAAACUCUCAACGUCACAACUGACAAACUCAAAAAGAUCAACUAAUCUCAAAAGUUUUCAGACACUGAAACAACCAAAGUUCUUUGAUCCACAAGAAACAAAUCAGCUAGAAUUCAAAUCUUUGAUUUCAGUUCAGUUCAGAGAAAUAGUUUUACAAAGCGAGACUUUUCUCGUUACAAAUUUGGUUCAGCACAAGCCAAGUCAAGCAGAGUCCACGUUUUUAUAAAUAUGAAAAUCUUAACAAAUUUAUAGAAAGCCUUGGUCAAGCAGAAUAGGUAUGUAACACCCCGACUCCCCCUUAUUUAAUUUAUUUAAUUAUUUAAGGGCAUUUUGGUCAUAUUUUUAACCGGAGAGAGUUUGGGGCAGUGAUCAGUAUUUUUGGAUAGGUCGUACUGAGACGAGUUCAUAGACACGUAGUGGGCUCGAAUCAGAGUUGUAACGAGAGAGAUAUGGUCAAAAGAAACCCAGUGGCACAAUCGUAAUUAUUUCGAAAUGGGAUAUUUUACAAAAAUCAGAUUUUUUUUAUCUCUCUCUCUCUCCCUCCUGCGAGCUCUCUCCCUCUCUCCCGUCGGUCUCUCUCUCUCUCUCUCUCUCUUCGUAUCUCCGGCCACCGGCCUCGGCUGCGGACGGGACCGGUGCCAAAAGGACCGGCUCGGCCUCGGCGUCACGACCCAGCCCUCCCCCGACAUUGGCCGCCGCUCCAGCCGCCGAAAAAUGGCGAUUUUCGCCCCGUUGUCGCCCGAACUUCGCCGGCUCCGAUCUCCCUCCUCCGGCCGCCAUUUCUGGCGAUCAAGGUAUGGAAAUUCAUCCCUUUUGCAUGCUCUAGCUGCCUGUUGGGUAGGAUUGGAUCGAUUCUUAGCGUAGCCAAUUCGAUUUUCGAAUUGAAAUUCGGCCAGUUUUGGGAUCACGAUUUCGGCCACUUCCGUUCAGUUUUUGAGGUAGGUCCAAGAACAAAAGUGACUCCAAAUAGGGUGUUAUACCUAGGGUAGGAGUUUGGAGCCGUGGUUUUGAGAUUUUCCGGCGAAGCUUUAUCGCUUUGGGCACCCACGCACUGCCGGCGCGUGCGGCGGCGCGUGGGCACUGUAGAAAAAGUGACACUGUGUCUUGAUGAGAUCCUUAGGUUGUCACGAGUGCGUAGGAUUUUGCGGAUCUCAAUUCGGACGUCGUUUGACUAUCGAACGGACGAUCGCAUAUUGUGUGUUAUCCAGGUUCGAUAGGUUGGGACCGUUGGAUGGUCCCAAAUUUAAUAUAUGUUAAUCUAGGUAUUUCUAGGAUCGUGUAGGAAUUUACGGAUUGUGAAUCGGAGCCCCGGAUAUUCCGAAUAAUAAUUUAAAGUUUAUAUUCCAUAUUAACCGUCAGAUCGUACGAUCGUGAGCGAUCCGACCGUCCGAUCCAAACCAAAUUUGUAGGACGAGUGUCCUAUAUCUUAUAGAACCCAUAGGGACUUUCGGAUCGGAAAUCGGAGGUCGUAAGCUCCUCAGGUCCGUUUGACCAGGGUUAGGGUAGUUUGACCCUUGGUUGACCGCGAGUAUCCCGGAGUAAUCUCACCUUUCCAGGGGGGAUUUUCGGGCGUUAGACUAGUGUGGAGGGUUACACAAUAUUAGAAUUAAUAUAUAUAAUUAUAAUUAUAUAUGUUUGUACAAGGGUACAAAAGAGUCUAGAAUGUCAGUUUGGAGUGCUAUACGCACUACCUUAGGUACCUCCCCGGAUUUUGGUUACACUACAAGUACCACCAAGUGAAAGUUAGGUCCCACGUGGUGUAGGUUAUCCGGCGUGCGGACAGGCCCCAUACGUGGCUUUGGUUGUACCGGCGUAUGGGGAGAUGUGAUAUGAUGUUCAGGUCUCACGUGGCGUAGGUUAUCCGGCGUGGAGACAGGCCCCAUACGUGGCGUUGGUUGUACCGGCAUAUGGGGAGAUUAUGUAUAUUGUGUUGAGGUCGCACGUGGCGUAGGUUAUCCGGUGUGUCGACAGACCUCAUACGUGGCGUUGGUUGUACCGGCGUAUGGGGAGAUGUGAUAUGAUGUGCAGGUCUCGCGUGGCGUAGGUUAUCCGGCGUUGAGACAGACCCCAUACGUGGCUUUGGUUGUACCACCGCACAGGGCCCUCGAUUCUUAAGGACCCCCCGAAAAAAAUUUCUUUAUAGUAUAUAUAUUAAUAUUAUAGGAAUUGUAUAUAUAGUAUAGCGUGCCAGACAUUUGCACAAGGACAUGUCUGGUGGAGUUGGCUCCAGCGCUUCUCCAUUUAACGUAGCGCCAGAGUUCAAUUCUUGCUGAAGUCGGUCUAUAUGCUGUUUUUAUAUUAUUUUUGCAUUAUAACUAAAAACUUUACAUAAUUAAUAAAUAAAUAAAUAAAUGAAAAACCAAAAAACCCUUGAAAUAAAAAAAAAAAAAAAUAUAUAUAUAUAUAUAUAUAUAUAUAUAUAGGCUUACAUUAUUUUCUCAGAUUCUGGUAAAAAUCAGAAACAUAAUUUAAGGAUCCUAAAAACUUUUGGAGUUGACUUUUAUUAAGAAUUUGAUCGGGAAACUUAUCAGCAAACUGAAUAACUCGAUCAAUUGGGGAGAUUUGCGACUGGCAUAUAUUGAAACCAAGAAAACGGACAUUGGUUUAGAACAACUUGAUCUUUUUGGCAGAAACAACUAGACCAUUCUUUUUGAUAACCUGAAAGAAAGUAUGCAAAUGCUUCCAAUGUUGUUCUAUGGACUCAGAAAAGAUGAGGACAUCAUCAAUGUAGACAAUUGAAAACUGGCUGCAAGGAUUGAAUAUAUCAUUCAUAAUAUUCUGGAAUUCACUAGGGGCAUUUUUCAAACCAAAGGGCAUUACAUUCCAUUCAUAAUGGCCGAAAGGGGUGACAAAUGCAGUUUUAUAUCUAUCUGACUCUUCUAUUUGGAUUUGCCAGAAGCCACUCUUCAUAUCAAAUUUGGAGUAAACAACUGCUUUUUCUAAUCGAUUAAUGAGGUCUCUUUUAUUAGGUAUGGGGUACCUAAUCCAUUCUAGAACUGCAUUAAGUGGCUCAUAGUUGAAAACUCAUCUGAGUCUGAUUCCAGUCAUAUUUCAGAAAUAGAAAGAGCUUUUAAAAAUUUAGAGAUCCAAGUUGAACCCAGGGUCAAAAGAUUAGAAAAACAUAUAAGCCCCGCUAGUUUGACCAAAAAUUGGUAUCCUCGACCCACACCUCCAGACAUUCAAUUUGAAGAAAGAAACUUUCAAACCCAGUUUUCGGUUUCUUCUGAUAAAUUGUAUGAAUGGAAUAUUGAUGGUCUUUCUGAGCAAGAGAUCCUGAAUAAGUUACAACAUAUGUCCAUGGUUGCCAAUAGUUUUAUCACUAAUCACAGUUUCAGACAGUCUGAAAUUGUUCCUUUGUUAGUUACUGGUUUUACUGGUACUCUCAGAUAUUGGUAGGAUAAACAUUUAACCCCUGAGUCUAAAAGCCGAAUCACUUUUGCUGUAAGACUUAAUGAAGACGGUCUGCCUAUAUUUGACGAACAAAUAGGUCAAGGUAUAGAAGACGGAGUCAACACUUUGUUUUACACAAUAAUUGAACAUUUCAUAGGAACUCCUAGUAACACCACUGCUAGGAUUCAUGAUCAGUUAAGUAACCUCAGAUGCCCUAAGUUGUCAGAUUUCAGAUGGUACAAAGAUGUCUUCAUUUAUAGAGUCAUGCUUAGAGAUGAUAGUAAUCAACCCUUCUGGAAAGAAAAAUUCGUUAAUGGUCUUCCCAAUUUAUUUGCCCAUAAAAUCCGAACUACCCUCAGUAAUGAACAAGGUCAUAUUGAUUGGGAUAGUUUAACUUAUGGAAAUAUUAUAAGCACAAUUAAUCAAGUUGGCAUGAAAAUGUGUGUCGAUUACAAAAUUGGUAAACAAAUACAGUCCGAUAGAAAAUCUGCCAAAUAUGAAUUAGGAAACUUCUGUGAACAAUAUGGUCUUAGUAGUAUUCCUCCCUCCAGGAAAAGUAAGCCGAGUCACCUUAGAAAGAGCCGGUUUUAUUCCAAAAGAAAACAAUUCCCCAAAAACGGAAAAGCUUUAAAAAGAAAAAUUGGUCAAAAACCCCCAGAGAUCCUAAAAAGAAUCGGCCCAAGAAUGAUAAGACCAAAGUUAAAUGCUUUAAAUGUCAGAAAUUCGGUCAUUAUGCUUCUGAGUGCAAAAUAAAAGAUACUAUUAAACAGUUGCAGAUUGCAGAAGAAGAGAAAGAAAAAUUAAUCCAAGUUUUAGAGUUGCGAGACUCUGAAACAAGUAGCCCUGAAACCCUAGUUGCCAGUUCUGGAUCAGAUUCUGAACAGUUUUCAGACUCCCAGCUUAGUUCCCCAGAUAUUCAAUUUGGUUGCAUAGAUAAAUGUUGUAAUCAAUUAAAAUCUAUUUCUGUCCUCACCAAACAAGAAAAGCAAGAAGAGUUAUUAAUUGAUCUAAUCAGCCGAGUUGAAAACCCUGAGUUAAAAUCAGAAUAUUUAAAGAAAUUAAGAAAAGUGAUCAAUCAAGAAAAUCCGAGUAGUCAUUCCAAGCCCUAAACAAUUAGUUUAAACACCACUAUAGAAAAAUUUGCCCAGAAAAAGAAAGAAAUCACUUUACAAGACCUCCAAUCAGAAGUCAAAUUAGUUAAAAAAGAAUUAGUUGAAUUAAGACAGAUUAGUAAUCAGUUGCAAGUUGAAAAUCAUACAAUCAAACAAGACUUAACUAGUCUUAGAAAAGGCAAAACCCCGUUAGAACCCAGAAGUCCCUCAGUAAGCCCCGCUGAUUCUGAAGAAGAUACUCCUAAUCCACCAGUUGUCAAUUUAAUUAAGCAAGUUAAUUUCAGAAAAUGGUACUCAAAAGUUACGAUAUUCGUCCAAGAUUUUGAGUUCACCACAGUUGCCUUAUUUGAUUCAGGAGCCGAUCUUAAUUGUAUUCAAGAAGGUCUCAUUCCCACCAAGUAUUACCAAAAGUCUAGAGAGAAUUUGAGCACUGCCUCUGGAAAAUCUCUACAGUUGAAUUAUGAAUUACCAAAAGCCCAUAUCUGCCAAAACAAAGUUUGCUUUAAAACUUCGUUUGUCUUAGUUAAAAAUAUUACAGACGAGGUCAUCCUAGGAUUACCAUUCAUAAGUUUACUUUAUCCUUUCCAGGUAGAAUAUGAUGGUGUCAUCUCUACCCAGUUAGGAGAAAAAGUUAAAUUUAAUUUCCUUUCUAAACCCGAGUUGCAUAAUCUAAAAGCCCUACAAAAACAAUCUGUUUCUAAGUCAAUCCAAGUUAUUCGGAAAACUUGUCAGUUGAAUUUCCUCAAAGAAGAAAUUAGGAUUAAAAGAACUAAGCAACAACUUGCUAGUCCUUCUUUACAAUUGCAAAUUCAGAAAUUUGAACAAAAAAUUAAAAAUGAAAUUUGCUCUGAGUUGCCUAAUGCUUUUUGGUAUCGAAAACAGCAUGUUGUCUGUCUUCCUUAUAUCAAAACUUUUAGUGAGAAAAACAUUCCCACUAAAGCCCGACCAAUUCAAAUGAGUCAAGACAUGAUGGAAUUCUAUAAGAAAGAAAUUGAUGAAUUGCUUCAAAAGAAAAUAAUCCGCAAAAGUAAGUCUCCUUGGUCUUGUCCUGCUUUUUAUGUCCAGAAAAAUGCUGAACUAGAAAGAGGAGUCCCAAGAUUAGUUAUCAAUUAUAAGCCACUUAAUGCAGUUCUAGAAUGGAUUAGGUACCCCAUACCUAAUAAAAGAGACCUCAUUAAUCGAUUAGAAAAAGCAGUUGUUUACUCCAAAUUUGAUAUGAAGAGUGGCUUCUGGCAAAUCCAAAUAGAAGAGUCAGAUAGAUAUAAAACUGCAUUUGUCACCCCUUUCAGUCAUUAUGAAUGGAAUGUAAUGCCCUUUGGUUUGAAAAAUGCCCCUAGUGAAUUCCAGAACAUUAUGAAUGAUAUAUUCAAUCCUUACAGCCAGUUUUCAAUUGUCUACGUUGAUGAUGUCCUCAUCUUUUCUGAGUCCAUAGAACAACAUUGGAAGCAUCUGCAUAAGUUCUUUCAUGUUAUUAAACAAAAUGGUCUAGUUGUUUCUGCCAAAAAGAUCAAGUUGUUCCAAACCAAUGUCCGUUUUCUUGGUUUCAAUAUAUGCCAGUCGCAAAUCUCCCCAAUUGAUCGAGUUAUUCAGUUUGCUGAUAAGUUUCCUGAUCAAAUUCUUGAUAAAAGUCAGCUCCAAAGAUUUUUAGGAUCCUUAAAUUAUAUUUCUGAUUUUUACCAGAAUCUGAGAAAACAAUGUAAGCCUCUAUUUGAUAGACUACAGAAUAAUCCUCCUCCAUGGUCUUCUAUUCGUACCGAAGUUGUUAAACAAAUCAAAGCUCAUGUCAAGACACUUUCCUGUCUUGGUAUUCCUUCAGUUAACUCUUCCAAAAUAGUUGAAACUGAUGCCUCUGAUAUUGGAUACGGUGGCAUUCUCAAACAGAAAAUUGGUCCUAAUUCUCCAGAACAAAUUGUUCGUUUUCAUUCUGGAACAUGGACUCAGUCGCAACAUAAUUAUAGUACUAUUAAAAAAGAAAUAUUAGCUAUUGUAUUAUGCAUUAGUAAAUUUCAAGAUGAUUUACUUAACCAAAAGUUUUUAAUCCGAGUUGAUUGUAAGUCUGCAAAACAUGUUUUAGAAAAAGAUGUUCAAAACAUUGCAUCUAAACAGAUUUUUGCACGAUGGCAAAGUAUUUUAAGUAUAUUUGAUUUUGAUAUUGAAUAUUUAAGAGGAAGUGAAAAUUCUGUGCCUGAUUUUCUCACUCGAGAAUUCUUGCAGGAUGCACAAUGGCUCCCAAAAAAGACAAACAGAAAGAAUCAGCCAGCCAAUCUAAGCCAUCCCAGUCGCCCAAGUCAUCCCAGUCGCUCCGUAUCCUCCCUUCUUCCAUGAGUCAGCCAAAGCCAGACUUGCCCAAACAGAUAGUUCCCUAUCCCAGUUGCCCUCCUAUUUCAGUGGCCACACCAAUCUCAGUUGCUAAUAGAUUUUCUUCCCUUGGUUCAACAGUUGGUCAAGUUCGCCCCAAUUAUCAAUCCACUCUAGUUUCCAGUUAUGAUCCUUUCUCAGUUGAUAUUCAUGCAGGUCCCUCAAUCACUUACAAAAAAUCUUCCCCCUAUUUGCCCAAGAGUAAUUCGCAUUUAUUUGUUAUUGAGCCUCUGUAUGAUAUUCAUGCAGACCCCAUAGAAAUUGCCAAACACUACUUCCCUCCUGGAUUCCAUUAUAUGCCUCCAAGUCCUUAUAAGUCCCUCAAAUAUUAUAGAGAUAUAUUACUUGAAACACAAUCCGUUGAGAUUAAGCCGAUAAAGGAUCGGGAUCAUCCUGAAACCAUUCUUUAUCACUCCUUGUAUAUACACAAAAUUUUGAGUCAGGAAUCCUUCAGUAGCCGUCCUUAUGAGUUAAAAAUUUUGAAGUCAAAAUUACAAUAUAAUUAUUCUGAUUAUAUUGAAGCAUGGUAUACUAUUUUCCUUCACCAAUCUGAAGAUUUUAGUCAUUCCUGGUUUAUUAAUUUUGAUAACAAGUUCAAAUGUUCUUUCCCGUACUGGUUUCUCCACUGGUGGGAAAAAUAUGGCCCAGUUGACGAAAUUCUGCCUGUCUCAGUUCAUAAGUUGAUCCGCCACUGCACUAAGCAUGCCAAGUUCUCCCAAGUUGAUCUGUUCUUCCCAAAACAGUUGCUUUCCAUUGCCAGAUACAAGGUCCUUUGGAUUCUCAAAUGGUCUUAUAGAAUCACCAAGGAUGUCCGAGUUUUUGCCCGCCAAUUCUCUGUUAAAUGGUGGGAUAAAUUUGAAGUUGACCGAAUCGCCAAAUAUGUCUACAAUGAUCUUCCCCGUGAGCCUAUUCUGCGCCCAGCAUCUCCUAUAGGUUCAGUUCGAUCUUCCUUAUCUGUUGAGGGAAAAUCUAAAGCAGAACUCCAGGAAAUUGUGCGUCAGUUGAUUAUUCAGGCCUAUCAGAUGGAUGAUGAUGAGGACAAUGAUUCUCCCUCGUCGUCUAGUUGCCAGCCCAUGCAAAGCCCAGCUAAGCCAAAGACGUGGUAUGAAGACAGUCAAGAUCCCUAUGAUGCCUACGAUCUACAAUCUGAUUAGAGGUCAUCAUAGCAGGCGUGAUAAUUGUCCCAGUUGAACGCAUGCCCAAAAGCAGUCGCCGACAUCUCAAGUAUCUAGUGGAAGCAUCUUUUAAAGCAGCAGACAAAGCACUGUUUGCUUUAAUCAGAUCACCGAAAAGAAGCCGAAAGCAAGUUGAAACAAUCGCAUAUCUGUGCUCCUACAGUUGCCCGACAAAAUUAAAAGUUGAAACAGUUUGCAUAUCCGUGCUCCUACAGUUGCCCGAACCAUAGUUACCUCUUAUCUUAGUUACUCAAACCAUAGUUGAACAUUUUCUAUAAAUGCAGGCUUCGGCCUCAGUUGUAAGCACCGCUCAAUACAUCGCUCAAUUUUCAUUCAGUUUUUAAAGAUUCUCUCUGAAACACUCCUGGAGAAAUCACCCUUGUAAAUACUGUGUGAAGUUUGCAGUUGCAACCUCUGUGAGUAUAAAUAAAAGUUGCUAUUUUCUACUUAUUCCUAUUUUAAGUAAUUUCAUAUAAGCAUUAUCUUCUGCAUUAGUCUGAAUGUUGAGUUAAGUUGUUGCAUCUUAUUCGUUGUCUUCAUUUCAUUAUCUCCGUUGUUGGCUCUGAUACCUACAAUUGCAUCUUAAAAAUAUUCUACUCCUCUUUGUUGAAAUUAGCCUAUCACAACCGUAAGAUUUCAUCUCUAGAGGCACCCGCGCACAUCAAACAUCAUGUUUUUUCUAUUACCUAUCCAUGUAAGCUAUAACUUUAUAUUUGAACUUAAGAGCUUAGAAGUAAUAGGUCUCCUCCUCUUUAAAAUUGUAUCAACGUAUAUCCAAUGGGUUCUUUAAUAUUAGUAAGUUUCUCUCUUACUUUUUGUUUAAUUUCCAAUUUCAAUUGUUAUUGUUAGCUUUUUAUGAUUUAGAGUUUGGGUGUUAAAUUUUGGGAAUUUUUUUCUUAUGCAAUUUGCUAGGAUUUUAUUGACGACUCAUCAUUUUUCUGAUUUAAUCUAUUCAUUACUUGGUCUCUGCUUUUAUAUAGUCUAGUUAUCUCUUGGUUUUGUUGAAUGCUUGUAGCUUGUGAUUGUGCAAUUGUAGAUUUAUAUGACGGCACUCCCUACGUCUAUGUAUAUUCCCAUAAAAUUUAAAAAUUGUUAAUUGAAGAAUAGUUGCUACCACUCAUUUUCUUUGCACACAAAAAAAAACCUAUAGCCUAUAGCCAAUUACCCAUGUAAACCCCUUAUCAAAAAAACCAUGUAAACAUGUUUUUAAAAAGAAAAAAAAAAGGUAAAUCUCCCAUUAAAAGAUAUUAGUCCAACCUAUAAAAUUUCCCGAGUCCGCCCUUGUGCUCAGCCUCAUUUUAAAGCAUUUCAGUAUAAAAAUUUUUUGGGGGUUUUUCACGUUUAAGUGAAGAUAUGACUGCACCAGCGUCAUGUUGUCAAGAAAAUUGAUUCACUUAAAAUCUUAGCCUUCCUCAGUCAUUGUUAGUUUUGAAUUAAAAAAACAGUUUACUGUUAGUUGGUAACAAUUACUCAAAGGGGAAAACAGAAGUACUGAAAUUUAUGUUUUAUUUAUUUAUUGGGACUGAAAUUAAGUACAACAUUACUCUUCAAUCUUAACUCCAAAAGUGCAAUUCAAAUGAUAAAGAAGAAAAAAGAAUUGAAUGCCACAUUGCUGAAGAAACAGAGAAAACAGGACACAAGACUGUUGCCCCUAUAGAUGGUUUUAGUUGUAGGCAUCGGGGUUGGCCACAAGAUAGGUCUCAAUAAUCUUGAACAAAGCAUGGGCCUUCUCUUUGCCGGCCUUAACAUGCUCUUCCUUGAUCUCAACAUCACCUUUGGUGUGGUAGCUGCUGGUGUUCUUUAUUACUGAACCUCCAUCUGCAGAUGCCACCAACUUAAUCUCGUAAGAGAUUUUCUCUAUUUUGUCUGAAAGAGCAUCUCCUUCAAUCAAACUGUAGUUGUACACAAAGUUAUCUUUGUCAAGCGCGUCAACUUGGUGCUUCACGUAGCUGUAUUCACUUCCUGUAAUUUCAAAAUUUCAGGAUGGUUAAUGUCAAUCUUUUUAGAAAUUAUUACACUAAUGCUUUCAAGAUACAUAUUAACUUGAAAACCAAGUUAAUUAGUAGAGAGACAGACAAUGGUGGGAAGUAAACAAACCUUCACCAAAGCUAGUCUUCUUGAUGGUUCCAACACCUCCAUCUCCUUCAACAAUUUCAGCACUUUUAAUUGCUUGUGGAGCAAUCUUUGGGACUAGGUUGUCAGCAUCCAGAACAAGGGCUUUGAACAACCUAGCAGGAGGAACGACUGAGGUGAACUCGGUUGCGUAUGUGAAGACACCCAUGAUAGAUGAUGAUGAUGAUUUAAGAGCUUAGGAAAUGAUAAAAAAUAAGAAUGAAAUUCGAGGUAUUACUUGAUGUUGGAAGCUAUGAGCACUGGAGGUGGUAUUUAUAGGUUUAGGGUGAAGAGUCUGAUGUGUAAAGUGAGCCCAAUGGAUAUAAAGUUGAGUGGUUGUUUCCCAUGUGAAUAUUUUAGUCAAACAAAGCCACCUCUACAAGUUGAUUUUAAAAAUUCCAACUUAUUACAACUAGCUGGAAUUUUUUCAUAGAAUGUUCUGGUGUGCUGAGUUUGCUGACUCAAUAAUAUUCUCAUUCAAUCAACUGAAAAAUCUAACGUCCUUUUCACAUUCUUUUUCUUAUGGCCAACCCUGAUGCCUACAACAAAAACAAUCUAUGAGAUACUGCAUGUUACAAGCAACAGUAUGGUGUCCUGCUUUCUUUGUCGUUGGCUAAGGGUUGGCUUUUUUUUUUUUCUUCUGUCAAGCCAGAGCAGUCUUUGGCUUGCAUUUGGGGUUAUGAUAAAUUGUAGUAUUGUAUUUGAUCAAUCUCAAUUAAUAAAGCAAAAAUCAUUUAAUUAUAAUAUCAAAGGAAAGGGUAGAGAAUUUCGAAAUAUAACAAACUAAGGUCUCAACUUUUUUUAUUUAUAAAUAUUAUUAUUUUAAAAUUUAAACUACUAUAAUUUAUGAGAAGAGUAUCAUCUCGAGUGAAAAGGGCAGAACCAACCGGCUUAACCACGUGUACAUUGCGGUCUUUACUUUACAAUUUUGACAUUGACUUACGAAAAAGAAAUAUAAAGUAUAGACUUGACUUCAACUUGAUUAGAGCAGCAAGGUUGGUAAAGGAAAUUACUUGAAAAGAGAAGCCAUGGAAAGUCUAAAUUAGACGACAUGAUACGUCUAGGAAAGGGAUAGGGAGCCAAUCACAAUACACUAUUAUAUAAUCUCUGCAGUUGGAUCCUUAAGUGAGGUAAAAUAUGUAAUUAAUGAUGAUACACAAGGCAGAGUUGAAGCAGAUAUCUAUGUGAUUAGUCAACAAAAAGAGAUAAAGGAUGUAACUAAUCCUUCUUAAGUUGUUUUAGUUAUGAGUUGCUUGCAAUGCUUCUUUGAAUUUGAUCAUGAAAAGAGUCCAUGUGCAUUCAGAAUAGACUCUGCUUGUUAGACAGACAAGUUAAUUUUAGAACAUCCUGUUAGAAAUCAAGAUAUUAUUAAGUUAGCACACCCUCAUCCUGUUGGAAUAGUUGAAUUUUUCAAAUCAACAUCUACUGGAAGCUUUAUUUCCUUGACUAAAAUAUUGCUGUAUUUCAUUGAAAAUCAUAUUUUCCUUUUCACAUGGACAAGAACCAUUGGAAAAUUAUAAACUUGUCUAAAUUCCUUUAUUAAUGAAAGCCAUUUUACAAAUCUGGCCUUUCCCCAUUUACCUAUAAAUACCACCUCUGGUGCUCACACUUCCUCACACCAAUAUCAAACAUUCUCUUAGCUUCCUCACAUCUCAAUCUUUCUUUGAUCAUUUUCUAAGCUCUAAAAUCAUCACCAUGGGUGUCUUCACAUACUCAGACGAGUCCACCUCAGUCAUCCCCCCACCAAGAUUGUUCAAAGCCCUUGUUCUUGAAGCUGACACCCUCAUCCCCAAGAUUGCUCCCCAAUCAGUGAAAAGUGCUGAAAUUGUUGAAGGAGAUGGAGGUGUUGGAACCAUCAAGAAGAUUAGCUUUGGUGAAGGUUGGUUUCUGCCAUUGCCUCUUCUAAGUUUAACUUGUUUGCCUAAUUAAUAACAUAAAUCUUGAAAGUAUUAAUCUCUUAAUUUCUAAUUAUAAUCCUCCUUUUACAGGAAGUCAUUACAGCUAUGUGAAGCACCGGAUCGACGGGCUUGACAAAGAUAACUUUGUGUACAGCUACACUUUGGUUGAAGGCGAUGCUCUUUCAGACAAGGUUGAGAAAAUCAGUUAUGAGAUUAAGUUGGUGGCAUCUGCUGAUGGAGGUUCCAUCAUAAAGAGCAGCAGCAACUACCACACCGCAGGGGAUGUUGAGAUCAAGGAAGAGGAUGUUAAGGCUGGCAAAGAGAAGGCCACUGGUCUGUUCAAGCUCAUUGAGAACUACCUUGUGGCCAACCCAGAUGCCUACAACUAAAACCUUAAAUGAAAUAUACUGCAUGUGCUUUCUCUGUCAUUAUAUUGGUGUGGCUUUCAUUUUUCCUUUCCUUUUUGUUGUGUGUGGCCAAGGCCUUGCACUUGGAGGCCUUUGUUAUAUCAAAGUGUGACUGUUGUAUUUUUUUUUUUCAUUAAAUAAAGCAAAAAUCAGUUGCUGGUCUUUACAAAUUUGGUCUGUAGUAUUUUUUCUCUUCAAAUUAGUGAAUUUCAAAUUUUUUUUUUUACUAAUAAAAAUUUACUAGUGCAAAAUAAAGAUUUGAUAAAAUUGGAAUAAUAAGGAUGACAUGCAUAAAUCGAGAAAUGUCCCUUUGGUUUGGUCAAGGUUUUUGAGAAGUACCAUUUGGGGCAACCCAGAUGCCUUCAAUAAGUAAAACUAUCUGUCACAGUACUGCUUGUAAAGAGCAACAAAAGUCUUGUGUCCUCCUUUUCCAUCUUCAUUCAUUGGUGCAGCUUUCAUUUCUAUGAUGAGUGUGUAUUUAUUUGAAUUCAAUCUUUAUAAUUAAAGGAACAUCAUUUGCUAAUUAUUUGAUUCCGCUAAUUAAAGUGACUCAGUCUAUUUGCAUGUCUAAAAUGUACAAAUAAAAAACGAAUAAAAAAUAAAAUAAAAGUAAAAGACAUUGCAAAGAAUCAUAUCUUCAACAUGAUCAGUCCUCAGUCUAUUUGCAUGUCUAAAAUGUUGGUCAAUCCUCCUCAGUCUGACCAUAACUAACCAAUCAAUCUUAAUCAACGGUCCCGAUUUCUUUCAAUAUAUAUAUAUAUAUAUAUAUAUCCAGCCAUUAUCAAGUAUCAACUAAAGCCAGCCAUUUCCAAUUUUCCAUUGUUUGGAAUGGCACUCAGCCUGGUUCCUGCUACGCUAUUUGUGGCCGCUAAUGCCCAGCAAGUUGCUAGUGAGAAUUGAUAAACGCAAUUAGCUAGCUAGUUGUUGGGCAUAGCGGCUGCGGAUAACGUAGCAGAUAUCCACAAUAUGAAGAUUCACGACACUGUUUACAAUAAGAAUUUGGUUCCCGUUUGUCCAAUUCGCAGAUGCUCAGCCUCAUUUUAAAGCAUUUCGGUAUGAAAAAAUUUGGUUUUUCACAUGUUAGUCAAGAUAUGAUUGCACCAGCGUCAUGUUGUCAAACAGUCAUUGUUAGUUUUGAGUUUUGAGUUUUGAGUUUUGAUUAGAGAAAACUUCCAUUCAAACAGCAAAACAAUUGACUCUGACUGAUUAAAAAAACAGUUUACUAUUAGUUGGUAACAAUUACUCAAAUGAAUGUUUUAUGUUUUAUUGGGACUGAAAUUAAGUACAACAUUACUCUUCAAUCUUAACUCCAAAAGGACCACAAGCAAUUUAAGCCUGACAGCAUGAUACCAGUAAAGAAACAAAGACACCAAGGGCAAACACAAAAACUAACAUAAGCAAUAGUAGCCAAUAUGCCAUUCAUAGCCAACCCAAAAAUAAAGUGUCUCAUUGGGCAUUAAAAACCUUUCAUUUAAGUAUAUGAAGCACUGGAGAUCCUAUUAUCUUGUGAAGGCUAUCAAAUUAUUUUUGUUUGUUUCAUUUAUUGAAAUUGAACUACAUUACUCUUUAAUCUUAACUCCGAAGUGUAAGCCAAAGACUGCUUUGGCAUGAAAAAAAAAAAUUAAAAUGAAAAAUGAAAAGCCACAAUGUUGAAUGAUUAAUAGAGAGAUUGUUAGUUUUUUUUUUUUUUUUAUAAUAUUGGGUUGUCUCAAGAUUGUCUCCUACGUGAAUCGAACCCUGGUGCACUUAGUGGGUGCGCAGGAGAGUUUGGCCCACUUUUCUACCAUGGCUCUGUCAAAAUUAAUACUACGGCGCUCACAAAAGCGACUUCAGUAAAGCAGGUAGUGGUGGUGUGUUUCGCGAUUGUCAGGGCCAUGUUCUUGGGGCAUUUUCGGCCAAUUUAGAUGUUCCCUAGUGCAGUUCAUGCUGAAGUUUUAGCGGUCAUUAAGGCCAUUGAGCUUGCUUGGCUCCAUGCUUGGCAUAAUGUUUGGAUUGAAACUGAUUCGUUGUUAGUUACUAAAUUCUUUCGCUCUACACAUUUGGUCCCUUGGCUUCUACGAGUUGAUUGGCAAAUUGCUUGCAUCGUCUCCAACACAUGUCAUUUAAGAUUUCUCAUAUCUUUCGUGAGGGUAAUCAUGUUGCUGAUGCUUUGGUAAAUCAUGGUGCUUUGGCAAAUCAUGGUGCUUUGGGCUCUGGUUUAAUUUGGUGGGAUACUGCACCUUCUUUUAUUUUGCCUUUUUGUCAGUGGGACUGGCUGGGCAUGCCUAAUUACCGGUUCUCCUAGUUUCUUUUGUUUACUCUUUCAGAGUUUUGGUCUCUUAGGUCAGCAUGUUGUUGUGCAUUUCUGUCAUUGUCUUUCUCUUCUGCAGGGUUUGGUUCGGUCCCCCUUGUUGUUCUUGUAUCUCUUUUUUGUUUCUUAUUAAUAAAUUAUGAUCAAGGGGACGGGUGGGGGCUUUCGGAGCGUCGGUCCUCUCUUUGAGGAUGGUGGAUGUUUGUGCAUCUGAUGACUGAUACUGAAGAGCUAAUCUCGCCUAAUCAUUUAGUUUAUUUAUACUAUGGUGGCACCCAUGUGCCACAAUUGAUUGUUAGUUGUUGGCUAUAAAUUUCAUAUACAUCAUAUAUUUCGCGUAAUUGUUAACUUUUACUAAACGGUAGCAAAUCUUCUGAAGUUAAUUAGUACACUAGCUGGAAUCAAAUGGGACGGUGCCCAAUUGUGAUAAAAAGUUGGAGGCAGGAACUUUCUAAAGAAGUAAAUUCCAAAAUUUCACAAUAUGAUUGUCCCUACCGCACAAAUAGUAUGCACUUCUAGAACUUCAAAUUAGGAUGACUUGACUUACAUUUCAACAUGGACUGCCCAUCAUUUUCAUUUGCAUUUAAGAGUCCCACAUACGGAAAUACCAAGAGACGUCCACAUUACAUUGUAUGGUCAGAUAUUAUCUAGUCUUAAUUGCUGCAGCUCAAGUGGGUUUCGAAUUUCAAUUUCUUAUUGAAAAGCAUUCUCAUUUCUUUGAAAACUUCCUCUCUUGGGUUCUCAUACAUAUGAAAUCACAGACACUGUCAAUUUGUUACGAUGUGAGAGAAUGUAGUCGUCCAAAGCACUCAUUGAAUGCACAUGGAAAUUUUAACUUGUAUUCAAACAUUUGGCCAGAAAUAAUUGAGGUUAGUCCACCUCGUGGAUUAAUUGGAAUUUUAAAUUCAAUUUGCAGAUGGUCCUUCCCUUGACUAAAUUACAAAAUUCCUUUGUACAAAAGUAAUGGCUCCCACGUCACAAUGAAUACAACCAAUUAAACAAUUACAAACUUGCAUAAAGCUUUUGAUCACUUGGUUCUAUAAAUACCAUACCUCCUCCUCACUUCUUCACAACCCAAAAUCUCCCAUUUGCAUCAUCUUUCUUAGUCUUCCCUCUUCAUCAAUUACUUUUUUUUAUUCUCACUUUCCAAACACUUUUUACAGAAUCAUGGGUGUGUUCACAUACGAAACCGAGAUCAACUCUGUCAUCCCUCCUGCUAGGUUGUUCAAUGCCUUUGUUCUUGAUGCUGACAACCUCAUCCCAAAAAUUGCACCACAGGCAGUUAAGAGCACUGAGAUCCUUGAAGGAGAUGGAGGCGUUGGAACCAUCAAGAAAAUUAACUUUGGUGAAGGUAAGUUUAGAUUUUUUUUUUUCUUCUUCUGGUUUGUUAUUUUAACGUUACAGAAAUAUUGUUUUGGGGUCAUCUUAUCUCAUAACAGAAAGAUUCAUCUGGUUUAAUGUAUAUAUUUGUGCAGGUAGCACUUACAGCUAUGUGAAGCACAGAAUUGAUGGGAUUGACAAAGAGAACUUCGUGUACAAGUACAGUGUGAUUGAAGGAGAUGCAAUCUCUGAGACAAUUGAGAAGAUCUCCUAUGAGACUAAGUUGGUGGCAUCUGGCAGUGGUUCUGUCGUCAAGAGCACCAGCCACUACCACACCAAGGGAGAUUUUGAGAUCAAGGAAGAGCAUGUCAAGGCUGGCAAAGAGAAGGCCUCUCAUCUCUUCAAGCUCAUUGAGAACUACCUCUUGGAACACCAUGAUGCCUACAACUAAAUAUUCAUAGCUUUAUUACUUGGUGAUAUUCAAUCUUAUGUCCUCUUUGGCAUCAAAUAAUGGUGUGGUUUUUUUUUUUUUCUUCUUCUUCAUUUCUUUCCAAAACCGUGUUUGGCUUGUGCUUGGAGCUUUGGUUUGAAGAUUGAUUAAUACUAUAUUUUCUUUAGUUUCCAAUGAAUAAAAUGAAAAUCAUGGAUAUAUGAUGAUAUUUGCAAGCUCUUUUCUCGUAACAUUGUAAUGCAAAAUGUCAACAUAUCAUAUUUGAAGCGGCAUUUGUCAAUUACCAACGAUCAUAAUAAUUGAAAUAACAAUCGGACCUCAUAUGCGACAUAAUACGAUCAAUUAAUGGGAUGAAAGAAUAUCAUUUCGUUUUUCCUGUUGUAAACCAUUUGAGAAUUCAUACUAUAAAUACCGAUAUCCCGUGUAAGGGACUCUGUAGCUCAAGUGGUUAAGAUCAUUCUGCACGAGAUCCUAGAUUCAAUUCCCCCUCCCCUAAUAUAGCUUGUAUAAAAAAAUAUAAAAAAUAAAUACCGAUAACCCAUGAUGUUGAUAUCAAAGCUUAGAUAAUGAUCAAACAUAGAAUGAAAUGUGGAGGAAGAUAAGAGAAUUGAUAGAUUAAGGGGUGAAAGGUAUGUUAUGUAAACUGCAACACAAAUUUAUAAUUGUUCUUUGGAUGUCGCCCUUGUGAACAGGAAGCAGUCUGUAUCAAUGGAUAUGGAGCUCCAAGUCGAAGUGAUCGAACCUGCAAAACAUAAUUCGCAAAGGAAAGGUAAAACUUUUCACUAUCUAGCGAAAGUAGAAGAGACGAAAAAAGUAAUCUUAUUUAGAGUAUGAGGCACAGCCUACCUCAACACGUCAUGGUAGGUAAGAGAGCUAUUGCAUAUGGCUUCUGAAUAUUUAUGUAUAUUUAAAGGGUCUAGCCGCGCGGCUAUACCUAAAAAAGUUCGCAUACAUUUAAAGAGUAUAGCCACUCGGCUAUACUUUUAAAAUAUUCGAAUAUAUUUAAAUAGUAUAGCCGUGCGGCUAUACUCUUUAAUAUUAGAAAUGACGAUUUCAGGCCUGCGAUUGAGGCCAACUCGAAGCCGCGCGGCUGUACCCUAAACCCUCGAUUCGCACCCUGUUCUUGAUCUCGCGAUCGAUGGCGCCGAUGUGCUCGCUGUGGAGCUGUUGUUUAUUGGUCUGUUUCUCACCUUGUAUGACGUUUUUUGGAUUUCGAAUUCGAUUGGCUGUGCUUUGAAAGCAAAUAGAAAUUCAUAAGCAUGCUGCAAAACAAGGAUUGCUCAGUUUUAAAAAUACAAGUGUAGCUAUUCUUGAUUUUGUGAUGGCUUCUGAUAUUUAGCUAUGUUUUUAGCUUUCAUGUAAGAGAUCAACGAUUGGAUUAGUCUUAAUCUGUGCAGAAAUGGUGUGUGAGGAAGGGAGAAAUUGAUUAAAAAGGUCUGUUGGCUUGGGUCUGGGUCUUGGUUUGCAGAUUGGGUGUACGGUCUGUUGGCAAAGCCUGUCGGGGGUUGGGUGGGGGAGGAAUCGGAGACAGAGACAGAGCAGAGGGGGCGCCGCCAGGGGGCGUGGUUUGGGUGGGGGUUAUUUGUUAUUUUUGUUAUUUUUAAUUUUUUUAAUUUGUUAUUUUCUCUUUUAAAAAUGAAAUUACGAAUUCACCCCUAAUAUUGACGAAUUCCACAACUAUGUAUUGUCUAAUUUAAUUAAACUGCUAUUUAGAGAUAAUAUUCCAUAUAUGACAACCACAAGGUGUGGUGCGAUUGGCAAACUACUACCUCCAGCUGCCGAGCUACCUGAUAUCUCAAUGGCAGGAGUUCGAAACCUGUUAGAAGCACUCUGUAGCCAGGGGCAAGCCAAACCUCGAGCAGAGAUUAAUCCCACCUUUUGAGUGUGGGGACACCUCGUGGUAUUUACCAAAAAAAAAAAAAUUCCAUAUAUGACGUGUACGUUGAUAAGCAUUUAACAAGGUAAGAUUUUGUGUCCAUAUGGCACGUCUUAUCCUGAAAGAAUCUUACACACUAAACUUACACACACUACACAAAUGCUAGGACUCGAACCCAAGACCUCACCUGAGGGAGUAAAUACUCAAAACCACUACACUAGUGGGUCUUUUGCGAGUAUGGAAAAUAUUUGACAAAAAGAAAGAGUGUGGAAAGUUGUGAAUAAGUAGAGAAUGUGAUAUUUGACCAAAAAAAAGUAGAGAAUGUGAUAGCAUUUGUAAGAAAUGUGGGAAAUUUUUUGAAGUAUUUAUUGACAUCUUUUAGGUUUUUAAAAAAUAAUAAUAAUAAAGCCAAAGGCAAUUUUGAAAAGAAAAAAAAAAGGCUGCAUUUCAAAAGGGUUUAUAAUUUUUUUUAAAAAAGAAUUUUAUAUACAUUUAAAAUGUAAAAAAGGGAAGGGAAAAAAAAAGAAGGUAACGUGUCAGAACCAAUUUUUUAAAUAUAUAUUUUAAAAAAAGAAUGAAUUUAAAUACAUUUAAAAAGGUUAAAAUAAAAAAUAAAAAAAUUAACGACUAGCUGACAACAAUGCACCUUUAAUAUUAGCCUUUGGAUUUGCAGUUGCACAAGAUGUUCCAUGCUCAUGCCCAUGCGUAAUACUUUCUCUUCUUAAAAAGCACAUGCGUUGGGCCAACAAAAAAUUUGGCCUGAGCUAUAGUUGGACUACAAGUGGCCUGGUUGGAGGGCUAAAUGCCUAAAUGUGGCCCUCUAAAUUUGGCUAAAUUUUUUUUAGCCUAUAACUGAAGAUGAAUUUUGCAUUAAUUUAGUAUUUGGCCUGUAGCCCACGGCUGAAGAUAGCCUUAUCUUACCUUAUGCAUGCAUUAGAAAGUGUCUGUUUUCUUUUGAGGCCAGAUCAGUCCCAUUAAACAUGCUCUAAGCACUUCAUGAGCUGUUAAAAGUCUCUCAAUUGGUGCUCAAGGUCACAAUUUUUCUUUGGGGUGCUUAUACCCUUUGUAGCUGAAGUUUUUUUCUUUCCUGUUUUGUUUAUCUAAUUUUGGGUUUCAAGACCUCGUUUACAACUGGCAGUCAACACUGGAUUCAGUGGUAUGAUCAAAUAAACCGUACAAUAUUAACAAUAUGAUCAAUAGUUCAAAGUUACAUAAUUGAGUACCAGAUCAACUUUCAACCUUCAAUAUUUCAUGUAAAAUACAACAAUUCAAUCUUUUAAUGUGAUUUCAACUGGAACAUAUUGACUUUAUUAUAAAAUAUAUAUAUUAAAACAAAGUGUGACAUAUAUCAUGAACAACUGGACAAAGAGACACUUGAUGUACCAAGUCCAAGGCAAACCCACACCUUUAACUGACAAUGAAACUGGUAGAACCCAAAUUACAAAUAUAAACAAGUUUGGUUUUAGUUGUAGGCAUCAGGGUUGGCCGUUAGGUAGUCUUCAACAAGCUUGAAGAGACCGGAAGCCUUUGCUUUGCCAGCCUUAACUUGCUCCUCCUUGAUCACCACAUCUCCCUUGGCAUGGUAGUGGCUGGUGGUCUUGAUGAUGGAUCCUCCGUUGGGGGAUGCCACCAACUUGGUCUCAUAAGCGAUCUUCUCGAUUACGUCAGACAAGGCAUCUCCUUCAAUCAAAGUGUAGCUGUAAGAAAACUUGUCCUUGUCAAUCCCAUCGACCCUGUGCUUCACAAACCCGAAUUGGCUGCCUGCAAAUGGAUUAAAACAUAAAUUAGUAAAAUUCUUUGAGUUCAUCUAAGUGUCAAAAAAAAUGUGAACAUAUACAGAGAAUAAGGGGUCAACUAGCUAACCUUCACCAAACGUAAUUUUCUUGAUGGUUCCAACGCCUCCAUCGCCUUCAACAAUUUCAGCACCUUUGACUGCAGAUGGAGCAAUCUUGGGGAUGAGGGUAUCGGCGUCGAGGAUGAAAGCCUUGAACAACCUUGCUGGUGGGAUGACAGAGGUGAACUCUGUUUCAUAUGUGAAAACGCCCAUGAUGAUGAUGAGUUUUUUACUUGGGAAACUGAUCAAAGGAAAAGUUUAAAGGAAUAAGAGAAUAGUUGAACUACAAGGAGGUUGUGAGUUGAAGAAUGAGGAUGCUGAAGGUGAUAUUUAUCGAUCACAUCUAAGAGCAUGAACUGAGUUGAAGGUUCCCAUUUGGUGUGUGAAUAGCUGUCCUUGUACAUUGUUAACCAGUUUAUGCAAGUUGCUAAUAAAAUUGUAUUAGGAUAUGUCCAAAACGGUCAAGGAAAGCUCCCAGAGACGAAUUAAUUUACAAGCCAAUUGGUUCUAGACUGUGUACUAUAUGGGGUCGGGUUCUAGAUGGUCUUCCAAUUAUAAUUUGAAUUUUCAAUAAACAAAUGGUCGGUCAUGAAAGUUAACUACAUCAGCUGUUGUUUCUGAAUCCGUGAGGAAUCAUUUUUUUCCUCCACAAUGGCAACUGGCUGGCAGUCAACAUCGGCUUUAUUUUUUUAUUUUUUAUUUUAUUUUCUAGUCAACAUUGGCUUAUUUUCUUUUUUUAUUGAUACUGUUUUUUCAAUUUUAUAAGGUUUGGAUAUGAGGUGCAGUAAAUUUCUGCCUAGAUUCACUGCAAAAAUCUACUUCACAACCAGACUAAGGAACAUUUACUGAUGUUGCAAAUGUCUUCCAUGACAUAUUGAAUAUAUGCCAGACUAAAAGCAUACUUAGAGCAAUUUCACCUACUGUGCCAUGACAAAGAGCAAGAGCAAGUAAAGGCAGACACUAUUCACAUGAAUAGUGACUAUCCUAGCAAUUUUUUUUGAUGCAUUCCCUCCCACCUAUUGCCAUGGCAAUCCAAGGAUAAUCACUAUUCACAUGAGAUAUUAGGAGAGAAAUUUGUAUGAAUUUUGGUAUAGAAAGUGAAGAACAUGGUUAGGUAUUUAUAUAUAAAAAAAAAAUUAUGAAUUUUUUUCCCUUUCUUUCCCAAUUUUUUUGGUAUUUAAAUUGGUCGCUGACGUCAGCAACUCAGGCAAGUCUUGCCUUUGGGCUUGCCCAGUUUUAUGGGCCCAUUUUUUUCCAUGGCAAAAGGUAAUGGUUGUAAGUUGUUUUUGGAGCCUAAGCCCCAUUUUGCCAUGGCAAAAAGUGAUGGGUGGAAGUGCUCUUAGCAAUUAAUCAAUCUUGUACUUAGGCUGCAUGAGUGAGUGGAAAAGUAUUAGAAAACCAGUGUAACAACAUAUGUUUAAGCCUAUCAGAUCAGAUGUUCAUCUUCAUUCAUCCCACAAACUAAGACUUUAUCAGUCUAUAAGAUGUACAAAUUGACCUUAUUAGUUAAAUAAUUAUGUUAUGUAUAAUGUAUCUGCCAUCAAGUACUCCAAGUACUUAAUUGAGGUUAGCAACUCUGGUUGGCUGGACUAAUUGGGUUAUUAAGAUUAGCUAUUUGAGGCGGCUUCUUAGACUUGAACAGUAAGUCAAUGAAAUUGAAAAUUCUAGCCCCCUUUUCCAAUAGGGACAUUCAUUGAAAACUUUAAUCUACAGGGGAAAUUUCUAACACCAUGACCAUAUGCUUCCAUCUAUAAAUAGCACAUCCAGUGCUCACAUUUUCAAGCAUCAAAUAUCAUCCCUGCCAAUCAUCUAAUCCUUUCACACUUUCAUCUUCUUUGAUCAUUUUCUAAGCUCUAAAAUCAUCACCAUGGGUGUCUUCACAUACUCAGACGAGUCCACCUCAGUCAUCCCCCCACCAAGAUUGUUCAAAGCCCUUGUUCUUGAAGCGGACACCCUCAUCCCCAAGAUUGCUCCCCAAUCAGUUAAAAGUGCUGAAAUUGUUGAAGGAGAUGGAGGUGUUGGAACCAUCAAGAAGAUUAGCUUUGGUGAAGGUUGGUUUCUUCCACUGCCUCUUCCAAGUCUAACUUGUUUGCUUGAUUAACAUAAAUCUUGAAAGCAGUAAGCUCUAAAAUUCUAAUCAAAUCUUCAUUUUACAGGAAGUCAUUACAGCUAUGUGAAGCACCGGAUCGACGGGCUUGACAAAGAUAACUUUGUGUACAACUACACUUUGGUUGAAGGAGAUGCUCUUUCAGACAAGGUUGAGAAAAUCACUUAUGAGAUUAAGUUGGUGGCAUCUGCUGAUGGAGGUUCCAUCAUAAAGAGCACCAGCAACUACCACACCAAAGGUGAUGUUGAGAUCAAGGAAGAGGAUGUUAAGGCUGGCAAAGAGAAGGCAACUGGUCUGUUCAAGCUUAUUGAGAACUACCUUGUGGCCAACCCAGAUGCCUACAACUAAAACCUUAAAUGAAUAUAUACUGCAUGAUGUGCUUUCUCUGUCAUUAUAUUGGUGUGGCUUUCAUUUUUUCCUUUUCUUUUUCUUGUGUAUCAACCCAGAGCUGCUUUGGCUUGCACCUAAGUCUAUGAUAAAUUGUAAUGUGUGUAUUUGAUU
rnacentral:lncRNA from 1 species